UUUCUUUUUUUUUUUUUUUUUUUUUUGUGUGCAUUCCAUUUGAGUACAGUUAAGAAGACAUGAUGAAAUCACAAAUUAUAGAAACACAUAGACCAAUUACGUCCAAGUUUAAACUCAGAAACCACAAAUUUAACGAGUAUAAAACAGAUAAAAGGAACUACAUUCUCUGCCUGGUAACGUACAUAAUAAAUCCCGUUCCCAAAAGAAACAAAAAGAACCGGAAAAAAAAAAAGAGAAAAAAGGGACAAUACCAUAUAUUAAUAUAUAGAUGGGAAGAGACUGCGUGUUGUCAACUUGCUUUCUUUUUUAAAUAUGUUUUACUGUAGGGAUAAUAUCAGAAUCCGCAAGAGAGGUUUUAAAAAUAUCACUUACCUCUCUUUCCUUUGUUCUUUGUGUAACGCACAAUUUUUAAAAACUCUAAACUACCCUUUUAUUGCUAAACAAAAAUAUUUCUAAUUCACUUUGUCUAAUUCAAGAAAACUAUCAUCUGAAAAACAAUCUCUAGUAGUACCAUUACAUCAUAAUGCUAUAACCAUAAAAAUAUAAAUUUAAAAAAUAAAAAGAUAUUUGCAAAGAAGUACACUAGCGCCAAUUUAACUCUAUAUGCUCAAAACCGAUGUCUUAUGAACUUUAUAUAUUUUUUUUUCAACUUCUUCUCAAUGCAUGCUCAAACUUUUAAAUUGUACUGAUCAUUAUAAAAAUUAAAUCAAAAUAAGUAAAUACAUUACAUCCCACUCUAUCAUAAUCACAAGAAAUAAAAGAUAAACAACAUUUAUUUUAUUAUAAUUUACAAAUUAAAUAAUGCAUAGUUAUCCAAAAAUAAAUAAAUAAGAGAGAAUGUGUGAGAGAAGAAAGUGACUUUCGUUUCUUUUUUUUUUUUUAUUUUUGAACUCCAUUUAUUUGAUAUGUGAAUUAUAUAUCAAGUGAGAGUUAAUAUAGUUUUUUUACGAUUAUUAGAAGAGGUAAAUGAUAUUUUUAAAACCUCAAAGGUGCCAAAUGAUAUUAGAAAAAACUUCAAGGGAGGGUUCAGACGUUAGCCCUUUACUCUAUAGAGGACAGGAAGUGUUGUCAAUACUCAAUAGGUACCUAUGGCCAUGCGGACUUUAACUAAAAUUGUAUAUGAACAUAAGCCACAUAACAAUUAGUGAAAAAAAUCCAGGGUUAAAAAAGAACUGUUGCAUUCUUUUUUUAACUUUUCUCCGAAUUUUAGUUGCUAUUAAUAGAUGCACAUGAAAAGAUAGAUUUAUUUACUUGCAUUAUAAAUAUCUUUUUCAAUCAUUUUUUUAUCUCACAUUCAAAAUAGUAUUACAGUAUUUUUCAAAAAUUUAUUUCAAAUAAUCUACUACCCAAGCACACUCAGAGUACCAAUAUUGAAUUUGUUCUCCAAGCCAUACACCCUAAACAAAUAAAUAAAGAGAGGAAAAAUUUUUAAGUUAUCCUUUUCUUCCCCAUCUUUCUAUUCUCCGAUGACCUAUGGUUUUUUCUUUGGGGGUAAAAUCUUGUUCUUUAUUGUUCUGUUAAAUUGUUAUUCAAUAUAUAAGCUAGAUAUGACCAGCCAUAUUUAAUACUCAAACUGAAUUUUGGUUGUAUAUGAUUGUGUUUUUUUCAUUAAUAGAAAUGAGACACAAAAACAUAACGAAAAGAACUUCGCGUUAAAAUGCAUACAAGUGGUGGGAAAAAGUUGUGGGAAUUUGUGAAUUUUUUGUCGAUAUCUUGUGAAAUCAUCAAAUGUUUUAUUUAAGCGAAACAAUCAAAUGUUGUCUAAGUAUAUUGCUAUUGACCUAAUUACUAUUUCUAAUUGGAUCAAAAUCAGUUUGACCUUAGGCUUCAUUUGGAUUUAAGAAUUUGAUGAAAGAUUUGAAAUCUUCUCAAAUGCCUCUAAUUGUUUAGGCUAUUUAGGAUGUAUUUGAAUUUGUAAAUAAUAAAUUAUUAUAGUAUUUAAAAAUAAUCUGAUAAUUGGUUAAUUAUAAAUUCAAAUGUCUUUUAAAUAAUCCAAACAACUGGAGCAAUUUAAGUGAAUUAUAUUUUUCUUGUACAAAUACAAUGUAAUCAUGAAUGAACAGAUGUAUCAUUCUAUUUACAUCUCGAAUUAAUCUAAUUUACACGAAAAAAAAAAAAGAAUCUUGAGAUAGAGCAUCUUUAAUCCAGAGUCAAAAUGAUUUUCUUUUCCGGGUUCUGACUUCGAAGGAUUUCAGUUUUUCUGCUGCAUGUGUGACAUUAUAAAGAUCACGUGACGGAAAAGAACCGAACUGGGCCUUGGUCUGAGUUCUUAACCUGUUGCCCACUCUGGCCCAAACCAUUACUCACAACACUUAUCCUAAAGUUGUGUGGCCUACUAUUUUAUUCCCAAGAAAUUAUAUGGAGACUUGAUUAAGAUCAAAAUUAUGUGGAGAGUAUGAUAAAUCCCUAGUUUGACUUUCAUCUAAUUUUCCUUUCACAGAGACGUGCAAAUUUUGGUCUAAAUUAUAAAGCAAAGGCCAAUUUAAAUUUAUUCUAAAUUUAAUCUCAUUUAGUCAAUCAUAUUUCAAUCGCAUACUACUUUUUUGCCUUUUGUGUAAACAUAAUAAAACUACCACACGGACCAAUUACGUUAGAGUAUAAUAUGAGGAACCAAAUUUAACAAGUGGAAAUUAGAAAAUAUAAAAAGAAAGAAAUGCAAUUGCUACAUAGGGAUAUACAAAUUAAAUCCCGUUCCCACAGGGAACAAAAGAACACCCCGGAAAAAAAAAAAAAAAACCACAAAGGAAAGGACAACACCACAAAUGGGAAGAGCCAGUUUGUUGUCCAAUGUCCUACCUUUUUUUUUGGCGCCAAUGUAAUGUCCUACUCCUUCCUUUGCGAAUUGUUUUGUGGUAUAUAUAAAGAUGAACUUUUUAUGCACGGGCGUGUAGCAAUUUCUUUACUAACAAUUUUGAAUGUAUACCACAUGUGAAUGUUUAAAUUUCAAAUUUAAAUUCAUUUAAUGUGAGAUGAACUAAAUCUGACAGUGAAAAAAAGAAAAUAUACCCUGAUAGCGUAUAAAAAAAAGUUAUCCUAUAUAUAAAGGACAUAAAAUUUGGUGAUGCCGGCCUCAAUUAAAAUUGUAUAUUGACAUAUUAUUUGUGAAAAAAAAACUCAUAGCAAAUGGCCAUAAUUCCCAACUAAAAUUUAAGGUUGUGGAUUUGGACCCCUUUGGGCUGAAAACAUGUAUUUAGUGUUUUGAAGGAUGAUUUUUUUUUUUUUGGGGGUGGAGGAAGGAAGGAUGAGUUGAUGGAUGAUGAAAUUACUUUGAGCUUAGAUGGAAAUAAUGGUUUGGUAUGUCAAUCUAACAGAAAUCAGAACAAAGGCCAAUUUUCAUUACAGUUAGCUAAAGAGAAUAACCCAAACUUCUAUCAUUUUCAUUUUAUUUUUUUUUUCAAGUACGUAAAACUUCAUUAUUUGUCUACUUCAGCAAGGUCCCUGAUGAAGGCUAAGGAAAAAAAAAUUAAUUUGAUGGCUGACCAAAUUAAUACUGGACAAACAAGAUCAUUUUUUUUCAUUUGUAUCCUUCCUUCUUAUAUAAAAUAAGAUACCAUACAUAAAAAACACCUUCAAGUCAAGGAAAUGAUUAACAUGAACUUCAUGUAAAAAGAAAUGAUAUAUUUACUAUAAAAAAUGCAUAUUUACUCUUUUAUCACUAUAAAAAAAUGACAUAUUUACAAGAGAGCAGCCACAUUAACUCCCUAAAUGUAAGUGGCUCCAACAAGUAAGAAAUUAAUACAAAUGUAAGAUUCAAAUCCCUCCAAAAUGCUAACUGAAUAAAUUAUCAACAAAAAGGUCUAAGGCUAUAUUCAACUGCGCAUCAAAUCUUUCAUUUAUUGCAUUGCAUGGUGCAAUACCUGAAGAGCAUCUUGUUCUUUUCCUUCCUCUCUAUUAACUGUUUGCCUUUCUUACUGGUCAUCCUUAAUGAAAAGUUACUAUAAAACGCCUUUUUAAUUUUCCAAUAUCAAAUUUUGAGAUAAGUUACCAUAAUUCAUAAGUUACCAUAUGCACGAUUACAAAUUAUUUAAGUUCUAAUUUUACAAAGAGUUCUUGUACACUUUCAAAGACAAAAUCUAGGAAAAAGAUUAUUUAUAUGUAAUUAUUCAUGUAAUCUGGAAAACGAUUUCUUGUGAAGUUCUGAUUGAAAGAGGCAGACAAGAUGAUGAGGGAUAGAACUAAUGAUAAGAUAGGAAAAGCCCAACAUGAUAAGGGUUCUGACAUGUUAAAGUUCAGAGGUUUUUCAAUGCCCCAAUUAUUAUUUCUUUUUUGGAAAUUUUGUCUAAAAGAGAACUACGCCUACUUUGGAUAUUAACGUUAGAAGGAGCUUAUUAUUAUUAGUGCUUGAGCGCACAUUGCAACUAAUAUAAAAUAUAUUAAAAUGAUUAGAAUUAUUUUUGUCAGAAAGUAGUACUCUUCCGUCUCAUCGAAAGUAUCAUACUUUUCUUUUGGCUGUUCCAAAAUAUUUGCAUAUUUGACAUUUUUAACUACUUUGUACACUGAAAUUUCUCUUUGCCUUCAAUAAUGAUGAUAAAGACAAACAUGAUGGAUUGUUUUCUACUUUUAUUUGAUCAGCACAUGAUUAAGGGCAAAAUUUGAACAAAAGGAAUUUUUUUUUUUGUGAGUAUGCUAUGCAUAAAAAGGACAUAUCCCCAAACAUGACUAAAUAUAUGGAUGAAGGAGUAUUUUUUUUUUUUUUAACUAGCAGUUUAAAAGGGUUCAAUUGUGCCAGAGAAGUGUUUAGUAUUAUAGGACAUAAUAGUUUGUUUUUGAGGAGUGGCACCUAAUUUCAACAAUGUAAGGAUGUGCAGUAAUUUUGUGACUCCAUUUUUUUUUUUUUUUGUGGUGAUAAAUUGAAUUCUUUUUUUUCUUAUCAAUUGAAAGUGUAAGAAGGUGUAAUUGAUGGAUCACAAUUUGUUAGUUCACUAGCAUCAAUGCCUUUGACCAAAGAAUCAAGUCGUAUAUAAGCAAUCAUUUGGUCCACAGUGAAUCUCAACCAUCAUCAUUUUGAACUACUGACAGCUCCAAUUGGCAAAUUGGUGACAUUUUCACGUAUGACCAAUUAAUAUUUGGCCAAUUUCUUUUCAAUAAUAAUUAUGUUAAGUGCAAGAGAAUUAAUUUUAAGAAAAUAUUCAAAGAUUAAAUAUGCACAUUUGCUGGUGCACACGAGCAUUAACGUUUUGGUUACACGUUUGGAGACCAUAAAAGUUUUUGGUGAGUUUCAGCAUCUAUACAUAGGUGUGAAAUGUUUUGCAGCAUCUCUUAAGAUGUUCGAUUUGUGAUUGCAAUGUGAGAAUGAGGAGGUAAAGUAGGCGAGAAUUGGGAAGAGAAAAAUGCAGUUUUGGUACCUAAACUAUAUGAUGCAGGAGCGGUUUAAUCCCCAAAUUUUGGACGAAAGCAAAUGUGAUACCCGAUCUUUCAAAUUUUGAGCACAUUUAAGUACCUUGACGAUUUUUUCUCAAAUUGCUACCGGAAAAAGUCAUGUGACAGUCACAUGUCCGGCCACAAUUGUAUAAAAAAGGGCCAAAAAAAUGUCAAAUGCCAUUCUAAUACUAAAUAUUAAAUUUAAGGACUAAUAACGUAAUAAACAAAAAAUCAAGCGACCCAAGGACUAAAUAACAUCAUGAGUCAAUUAAAAAAUAAAAGAAAGACAACCACAUAGUAUCUGUUUCGUUCCUCUUGCUUCGCUCUCAAUAGAAACCCAAGAACAUUCCAUUGCCUCAGAUGCCAUAUAUGAGUCAACCUGAUCCAAUCCAAGUUCCCAAUUUUCAUAUAAGAGAUACAAAAGUCUUGUACAAUAACAAAUAUUAUUGGUGGUCAAUCUGCUGGGGGAUCUUCCAAUGGCUAAUGAAAUUGAGGCUGCGUGAAGUGAAUCUAUCUUAAUGAACAUUAUCCCUUGUAACAAUGCUUUUGUACAACUGCAUCAUAUUUGGUACCUUAUGUAACAUCACCGUGUUACUGGAAAGUCAUUUUGUUGGAUUAACCAGUUGGAUUGGACAUAUUAUUUUGUAGUGUUUUGACUCUGUGCAAUUGUUUGUAAGAUUUUAGUUCACUGGAACUUGAUGAGUUUACUUAUUGUGGUAACUUUGUGAGUCCUACUGGAGUUGAACUUGCUGCAGAAAUUGCUGUUGAUUUUCCAGAAAAGAAGGUUGUUUUGGUGCAUGAUAGACCUAGGUUGCUAGAGUUUAUUGGAUCCAAAGCUUCCAACAAGACUUUAGGCUGGUUGAAAAACAAAAAUGUAGAAGUGAAAUUGCAGCAAUCUGUUCAGUUGGUUAGAAGUUCAGAUGGAAGCAACGCUUACAUAACUUCAUCUCGCGAAACAAUUAAAGCAGGCUGUCAUUUCUGUGCAUUGGAAAAACCAGUGGGUUCGGCGUUUUCUCUUAGUAUAAAACCAUGUUAAAACAGGGCAUUAGUCUUUUGUUUAGCAUAAUCACGUAAUAUCCAUGCUUGAACAAGGCAUGUACUUGACUAAUUCCAGUACAUAAUCAAGUCACAAAUGAGCUCCAAUUCCAGUACAUCAAUCCCAAAGAAUUCUUUUUUUUUCCCAUCCAUAAUGCAGAAAUUAAUCUGCUGAAUACAUUAAAAACAUCCAUAAAAAGGGUCCAAUACAACAUUCAUUUCAUAACAACAAAAUUAAAGGGGUAAAUCCAAAAAAGUGCCAAAUUAUAAUACUACUAAUAGAACCUCAGACUUCGUAAAUCCAAGAAACAAACAACUUAAGCAGUGAGAACAACAGCCCCACCAGCUUCCUUAAUCUUCUUCUUAGCAGUCUUGGAAACCAGCUUGACCUUAACAACAACAGGUUGAUUUUCAGGCAAAACUCCCUUACCCAUAACCUUAAAGUAUCCGAACUGGGUGAUAUCAAUCAAAGGGAUGUUGUCCUUGGUAGCUUUGUCCUUAGCUUCUUGAGGAACCAAAGACCAGAGCUUAUCGAUGUUGACAAUGAGGCAAUGGAAUUUGUUACGGAGCUUGUGGAAGUACCUCAUACCAACUUUCCCAAAGUAAUCCGGAUGAUAAUUGGGUUUUCUAUUGGAGAGCGAAGCAAGAGGAACGAAACAGAUACUAUGUGAUGUCUUCUUUUUUUAUUUUUUAAUUGACUCAUGAUGUUAUUUAGUCCUUGGGUCCUUGGAUUUUUUGUUUAUUAUGUUAUUAGUCCUUAAAUUUAAUAUUUAGUAUUAGAAUGGCAUUUGAUAUUUUUUUGGCCAUUUUUUAUACAAUUUGUGGCCGGACAUGUGACUGUCACAUGACUUUUUCCGGUAGCAAUUUGAGAAAAAAUCGUCAAAGGUACUUAAUGUGCUCAAAAUUUGAAAGAUCGGGUACCACAUUUGCUUUCGUCCAAAAUUUGGGGACUAAAACCGCUCCUGCGUCAUAGUUUAGGUACCAAAACUGCAUUUUUCUCAAUUGGGAAUUAGCUAUUAAAAUGGAGUUCUCAUAAUUCUAAGUUUUCCUUAGAGAAAGUGAAAAUUAAACGUAAGAGGUUCGUUUUAUAUGUCACAAUUUACUAAAAAACACGACUAAAAAUGAAAUCAUAAUCAAAAUUAUUUGAGAUAAAAACAAUAGCCAAACUUAAAUCUAGGAGGCUUUGGAAAACUACAAAAUGUAAAUAGAGAAAGAUGAAGAGAGAAUUUGAAAGUAGAACAUUUAAUUUUUAAAAAAUCAACUUUAGCCACUAAAAAAAUUAUAUAUAUAUAUUAAAGGUUGAACGGACCUACACACUAUAUGUUACAAACAAGUUAUCCAUAAUCCAAACAAAAUUAGUCUGGUCAGCUAUGACCUCUCAACCCUGGGCCGUCCAAGUAUCCAAGAAAAUUGGAAUCCGGAAAUGCCACGCCAACGAAAUAUUAGCGCCUGGCACCAACGCCGUCAUUUUUGUUUUGGGGUCCAACUCCCUGACAAAACCCUACCUAUUCGGGGGCUUUUGCAGAAUCCUACGACACAUUAAAUGCAGAACUAGAAGCCCAGCCAAACAUUCGAUUCGGAUUCUGCUGCGGCUCGCAGAAUCUGCGGCCUGGAGCUUUGAUUUGCUCAUUCAGCAGCUCGCUCAUCAGUACCAACAUGUGCUCUACUUCUUCCCGCAAUAUUAAUUUCGCAGCUCAGCUGCAUCCUGUGUCUUAACCAAACAGAGCUCCGCUGCAACCCUUAAACCCCCAAUAUGCAGCGCCGGAUGGCAUAUAUAGCAGCGUACCGACGUUAAAGCUUUCCUGUUCCGGUACCAGGCCUAGCAAUCGGUUGAUAAUUCGUUGUUCUUCUGAGGUUUUAGUUGAACCCAUGAUUGGAAACGGAUUUGGGGAAGAUGUCUACUGCCGUGACCUGAAUCUUGAAGAUAGCCACCACUUAUAUCUGAUUGGCGUUGAGGGUUUAAGGGAAUCGAUAAUUCAAAAUGGCGUUGUGAGAGAUGGCUGCAACUGUUAUCGGGAUCGGUAUCUGCAAGAGCUGUUCGAGGCUUUAGAGGGUUUUGAAGAACGCAGAACUGGGAUUAGAGUUUCGGAAGAUCACUACAAAAGGUAUUGGGCUGGGAAGCCUAUUGAGAUGAUUUUGCGAGAUCAUCUGAAAGGCGCCUGUAUUACUGGAGUCCCGAGUGAUUUACUUCGGCCGUGGUGGGAUGUACAAAGAGCUGCUAAUGGUGGUUCAGAACUAAUAAAUGUGCGAUCCGUUUCCAAAACAUUUUAUUCUCGAAUUCUCCGCAAACAAUCUCCAACCCAGCACGUCCGAUUUGGGAUGGCUUCCAGUAGCCCGUUUCCUCCCGAACCAAUUAACAUUAAUAUUAUCUCACAAAGUAACAUUAUCUUCAAUGGUAGCCACUUGAGUCAGCACAUAGGCCCGGAGAUUCGGUCGAGACCCACAAUUGAAGCUGGAAGUGGCGGAGAUGGUGGCAAUGGCAACGGACGAUUGCCACCAUCUGGCGGUGCCCGUGGUGGAGGAGGAAAAGAUGAUGAUGAUGGGGACGUUUAUGAUGACCAGUUCUCACGGUUUAUGAAGGCUGCAGCUGAAAAGAUGAGGGUUGAAGCCAAUGCUAAUGCUGAAGCCGCCAAGGCUGAAGCUGCCGCCAAGUCCAUGGGGACCCUGGUAAUUAAUGUUGGCUGGAAAUUCAAUUUCUUCUUUAUAAUUUCAUACAUCUGCUGCUCUGCAUAUUGGUGUUGCUUGGUAAAUUCAAUUCAGCACUUUUCAGAUGGCCCUCUUUGUUAAUAGUUUGAUGAAAUGCAGGGGUUGAUGUCCAGAUUUGGAUUGUUGGUGGCGUCCUGCUGGAUCCUUGGGAAUCCUAUUCUUGCUGAUCCAUCUCUUCUGUUUAAAGUUGGUAUUGCAACACAGGUUAGUUAUAGAGUUCCUACUGGUUUCUAAACUUGUCGUUAUGUGCAAAACAAAAUGGAAAUGAGGCUUGGUAAAAUUCCUUGACAGUAGAAAUUUGGGAGGGAACAAGUAUAAGGUUGUGGUGGUCUGCUGUAAUGAAGGCUCUGUAGCAUAUAGAGUUUGCCAAUUAUGGUGGUUAUGUAUACUCUGGCUUACUUUGCAGAUGAUCUUCUCUGCUUAGACUCAGUAGUUUUAUAUGAGGCAUGUCUGUUCAUGUUCUGUUGCUUGAUAAGACUCAUUGCUCAUUUGAGUUCUUGCGGUGUGAUGAGUGGGUGUUGUUAUUGCUGUUGUUUUAGCUUCUUAUUCUUCUCUUUAAUAUUUGAGGGAAAGAAGUUGGGGCUUGGCCUGGGGUUAUGCAUAGCCUGUCAGGGCCUGCAUUUCUUGUGGAAUUGCUCGAUAUGAUUUACAUCAGAAACAUGAAGGUUAUUGAUCUCGGCUAGCAUGAUGAUCAUUGUUUCAGCAACUGUUUAUUGUUGCAGUUGUUAGAAAGUUCUGAAAUAUUCUAAAAUGCAACAGAAAUGAACCUAAAGGAGUAAUCUCUGGAUUUAAAGGUUAAAAUCUAGCCAUUGCGCUAGCCCUUUCUAAUGGGCUUUCCAGUUUGGUUGAACAAGUUUAUUUAAUUUAUUAAUUUUCUCUUUCAUGGUUGCUAUGAUAUGUAUCUGCACUGUCAUGUGUUAUAGGUAGUCACUGGUUCUUGUUUUUCAACAUUUGCAGAACUGAAGAAGAAGGGGAUGGAGUUUUGGUCCAGAUUGUUUGCUGCAGACAUUCUGUUUGGGAUUACAGUUGACAUUGCUUUGGUGGUGUGCUGGCAACUUAUGCUCGUAUGGGCUGAUGCCAUCUGCUUCUGGUGGUUUUUUUGGGCACAUGCAACGUGCCUAUUCUUCCCUACGAGCAGGUAUUGUACCUUUAUGAUAAAUGCUCAGAUACAAGCUACAAAAACUACAAUCCUCUGGGCUGCCUGCGGCUACUUUUUAAUAUGUUCAUUGGAAUUCUCUCCGAUCUGCGAUCUUAUGAACUCCUUGAUCUUGAUGAUUAUUUAUACUCAUUCUAUAAUAAAUAUUCUGACAUUACUGGAUUCUAUUGUCUUCUCACACUUGAUGGUAAUGAUUUUGGACCUAUAGGAGGCAAGGAUAUUAAUUUUUUAUCUGAUAUAUGGGUAGCUGAAAACCAAAGAUGUUUUAGGGAGUAAACUGCUGUUGAUAAAAUUUUGCAUAGAAAAAACAUAGUUAUUGUGAUUCAAAAGCUUUAAGUUACGAACCUUGAAUUGAAUGUCAGGUGUAAAAGAUGUAAAUAACUGUUGUUCUAUGUGUCCCAGUUUGGAGUCAUCUUAAGAUGCCAAAGCCCACAAAAUACGCAUAUGACUUAUAAAUGAGCAUCACUGUUACAUUUUGCCCAACCUUUGUCAUGACUGACUAGACAUAGUUAUGGAGGUUAGGAUAUUGUUGUAACUUGUAGGUCAAAACCUGGAGGUUAUUGUUUUUAUGCAGUACAAUUGGGUGGUGUCCAGCCGAAGUAAAUCCAGUUUCUGCAUUGUACAAUUGAGAUUUAUAGCUUAGUUACCAGUUUGCAUGGCACAGUCUGAUAAAUUGAAGAGUACUCCCCAAGUACAAGGAUUUGGGAGUUUUCCCUUCUCAAUUCAAUGGAAGAAUUAUGCAACUGCAUUUUGUCCUAGACCCCGAAUAGUAAAUUAUCAGCUGAAUGUAUCUUACUAGUUACUAAUCCUAGCUUUGAUCCUUUGAAUAGGUUUUACCUAAACUACAGUUUAUAUAUCACUCAGUUAAGGUUGCAUCUGCCCUGGGUGUCAAAAUAAAAACUUCUAUGCUUAUACCCUUUUCUCUUCUUAGACCUUUUGAGUUUAUUGAGUUAGCAGAAUCUGUGCUUCUUGCUCGCUGUUAUGACUGACUAUUCAAUUAUUUUGAUUGUGAAUAUUUUUGUGAUAGUAUUUUUGAAGGUGGAAGUCCAGGAUUCAACAUUUCUUUGCAGCAACAGGGUCUCACCUACUUUUAUGAGGUAAUGAUUGUUAUAUACGUAUCUAUUGACUUUCAGUACUUCAACAAAUUGCAGAUUAGAAGUGUUCUUGUCUAGGCUGGUUGUUGGCGAUUUCUCUAUAUUGCACACUUGCAUUACUUUUUUUUUAAUUAUGUUUAUUUUUUGAUAUUUGAUGGCAGAAUCCACAUCUGAUUCUCGUUUACUGACUCUGUUCAUUGACUACUUAAUUCUCACACUCUAUCCAGGGUAUCUGUUUGGCACAGCUGGACUUGGUUGUGGGCUUAUUUAUCAUGCCAUAGUUAAUUUAAUCAGGACUGGAACCGGUAAAGUUUCUAACUGGACAAUUUCUUCUUAAAACUUGCUAUUACACUAUGAAAUGGAGGUUUCUAUGCUUUGAUUUUUGAAAUACUUCUUGUUAUACUGUUGUUAUUCAUUGGGGUACUGAAAUCAAAGAAAACCAUCAUCAUAGCUGGAAAGUCAUCGUGAGGCUCUUACUGAGGGUCAAACAGUAAGGUUUAAUUCUCAAAGAAUAAUUCGGCUUGUUUACUGCAGUUACCAGACCCCCAAGUGAAACUGAAGAAGAGAUAAAAUUUUUUAUCGCGUUAUUACUCAUAGAGUCUGGACUAUGAACUAUAAAUUACAGGGAACUAAGGUUUGACAACCCAAUAAACCCAUAUUGUAUGCAUUCAACAAGCAUAAAAACUUCGAGAAAUUAUAGAGCUGGCUGUGGAAUGAUUAUUUAUCCGACUAUAGACCCAUAGUCUAACAGGUCUUAUAAGCAUAAGUGGUUUCUCAUGAUCCUAGCAGAGUUCUGGUUCAGAUGACUAGAAAACUUAGUAGUAUUGCUGUAUGCUGUUGCAGGAGAUUUAUGCAGUUUUUCCCUGUUGAUGUUACAGGAAUGCCAAGAAGUCAGAAGAGGAAAAUCUGGUUUCCUCUAUAGUGAAAAAUGUUACUCUCUGGGUAUGUUACCUCUUACUACUCGAUUUAAAUAUCCAUUUUUCUGCAUAUCUAUGUCUGAUGAUGAUUUGGUCAUGUGUGAGAGAGAGGCAGCAAUCCGAUCUCCUAUAUCUUUGUGAUUCAAUCCCACUAGCAUUGUGAAUGAAACUUUGAUACGAGCUAAAAUGGGCACCCUCUGGAAGAACCUUUGACCAAAGAGUUGCUCCUUUGCAUUUAUUUGCUAUAAUUCAUUAUUCUCAUUUACCACCAGGUGUUUUCCUUCCGCUUUCAUCAGAUACGCGUCAUCAGAUUGUUAAAGGAUUGGAAAAACAGAUUAAAGCAUCAUCUGUUGCAAAGCAGGUCCUAUUUACUGCUCUGGCUUUUGCAGUAGGCAUACGAUUCGCCAACAGUGUAUUUGGCGGGCUGCUGUUUGCUAACUGGGCAAAAUGGAGUGGGAUCAUGAAGAGCGAAUCUUGAUUCUCGACUCGUCCCUUGGAGUUUUUGCAUCUUCUUACACGCACUCUCUCUCUCUCCUUUUUCUUUUCUGUUAUUAUGUUCUGCUGUUGUUGUAACAUCUUGUACUAGUAGAAUUUGUGCAAUUGCCAAUCUACAUCAUGUUGUGCUGUUGUUGUAACAUCUUGGUUUCAAAGUAGGACUUAAUGACAUAAACGCGAGAACAUUUGGAUUCAAUAAUGUAGAUUUGCGUUGGCAGAGAUGUAUGAAACCUCGCUGGUGGCUGAAUGAGUUUUAGAAUGGUAGGACUGAAUGAGUUUUUUUGUGCUUUCCAAUGGUUUUCGCUUGUUUAUGGUUUAAGCUAACUCAAACUUUCAUUAAAAUCAAGCUUGGUUUACUUAUUGAUAAAGUUUUCUGCUGUCAGUAUGACGGACCCGUGUGCGCUAUAACAAUAGCAAUGCUUUGAUUGAGUUGUUUUCUUUGGAAGCAUUUUUAAACAAUGAUACUAUACAAACUUUGAGCUAAGAAGUUGGUUAAGAAAGUGAUUGAAAAAACAUAUUUUAGAAAUAUUUAGAAGGAAAAUUUCCAAAUCUCUCGUGUAUAAGGUGCUCUCGUCUUUUACUUGUUUUUUUCUUUUAUCAUGGUUUAUAAAUUACCAAUAGAAGGCAGGAGACGCUACAGAACUCUGGCCGUCCAACUCCAUAUUAUAUGAAGCAAAUCAUCCAGGAAGCGGUUAAACUUUUUGAAUGGUCGAUUUUUGACCAUUUGACCGUUUUUUUUUUUUUUUUUUUUUUUUCAGUUAAGGGUAUCCGGGCCUACACCCGACUAGUCCCUUAACCCCGAGGAGAGCGGGCCCCACCGAUCCUCGAGAAAAUACCCCAGGCUGCCCAAGCUCGGAAUCGAAACCAGGACCGGCGCCUUAAUCGAAACCAUUUGACCGUUAAUAGUAUGUUUUUACCUGUUAAACUAUUGAAAGUGUAAAUUUUGGACAAUUUUGUCUGAUUUCACUUAAUUUUGUUAGAUCUAACUAUUUUGAAAUUGUAAAUUUUGGACAAUUUUGUCUAAUUUUACUGCUAAUUUUGUUAGAUCUAACUAUUAAUAGUAUGUGUCGUGAAUCAUGCAGAUCCUUAGAUUUAGUAGAAUUAACGGUGAAAUUAGACGGACUGAUUCAAAAUUCACACUUUUGAUAGUUCAGUGGAUAAAAAUAUAUUAUUAAUAAUUGAGUGGUGAAUUCUUGACUAUUAAAAAAGUUUAAUGCCUACCCGAGUAAUUUGACCUGUAUCAACAAACCAAGCCUCUUUCUCUAACAUUAAAAGUUAAAAAGAAAAGGGGAACGUGGCUAUUUUAGUCCUUCAACAUUUUUAUUUAAUUUAAUUUCGUCCAUCAACUUUAUUUUAACCUAAUUUGGACCGAUUAGAACCUUGCCGGCACAAAAAUCACUAUCCAUCUGAGGGUAAUUGAGGAACUACAUGUUAGGGCCGAUACUGGACGGAAGGAAAAAGUUUUUCUAUCAAAUGGGGGACUUGAAUGAGCUUCUCACAAAAUGAGGAGGAAAAAAGGAUUUUUGGACUUUUCUCAAAAACAAAAACCUAUCCUUGGAGUAUUUAUAUUUAAGCCACAAUGAAUCUCAAUCAUCAAAUUUAAAGUAAUGAUUGGUUAUGUGCCCCAGUUGUUAACAGAUUCAUGUCUGACCAAUUAAUACCAUAUGGAAAAUUCCUUUCCAAAGGUAGUGAAACUUUUAAAACUCACAAAUAUGGCCCAGGCAAGGGCAAAAGAAAGAACUACAAGGAUAUGUUAGCACUUGUUUACAUGUGUACUAGUACCUACACAUGUUUACAUGCACUGUACUUGAGUUAACACUAGUUAAACACUUGAGUUACAUGCACUCUAAAUACUUGAGUUAACACGAACAGUGCUUUUGUUACAGCAAUAUGAGGUUUAGUUAUGAUUAUAAUUUAUUAGAACAAAUUAUCUGAGUAGUCACUAAAUUUUUUGAGUAGUCGAGUUUUGGCCACUUAAUUAUCAAUAGUAUGUUUUUACCUAUUAAACUAUCAAAAGUAAAAAUUUUAUACCAUUUCAUCUGAUCCUACCGUUAACUCUCCUAGAUCUAACUAUUAAUAGUAUGUCUCGUAAAUCAUGUGGACGCUUAAAUCUAGCAAAGUUAACUGUGGAAUCAGAUAGAAUGGCUCAAAAUUUACACAUUUGGUUGUUCAAUGGAUAAAAACAUACGAUUAAUAGUUGAGCGGUCAAAUCUUGACUCUUCAAAAAGUUUAAUGGUCACUCGCAUAAUUGGCUCAAUUUAUCAUCAUCAUUGUUUAAGUAUUACUUUCUUUCUUUUCGGGUCUGUACUCCGUUUAAGUAUACAUAAGCCAUGAUUUUAAAAUUGAGACACCAAUAUGUUAGCACUAUGAAUAUAUUAUUGGCGAAAAUUCAAUGAAUAGAAAAAAAAAUACACUAAUUUCAAUAUAGUAACACAUUAGUAGCAUUCAAGAAGCAAACCAAAUUGGUCCUUUUAGCCUCAUAUUAUAUGCAUGCACAACCAGCCAAGUGGAGAAAGAGAUGUACCUUUCACAAAGUACUACAUGCUUAGACAGUGAAAAUUCAUCAAGUCUGGGGCCAUUCUCAGCCACCCACAGGUGCAAGGUUCAUAUUUAGUAUUGUUGCCAUAUGAUCUUGAAAUUUAUGUCAAAGUUCUUCAAUUAGACAAAAUGUUUAACACACUAAUAUUGGAUGAGACUACUCCAACCCUAGUCGAUUUGGCCCGUUUAAGCUGUGGUUCUAUCAUCUAUGGUGUGUUUACCUAAUAAACUCUGAACUUUAACCUCUCAAAACAUGACUUUAGGAGCUGAUAAAAAUUUUGUUUAGGUGAUAAAAUUUUUUAUCAAACUCAAGCGUGGGUUUCUUGAUGACGUCCUGCUGGAUACUUAGAAAUCCUGAGCUUGCUGAUCCAUUUCUGUUUAAAGCUGUGACAGAGGUAAAUAUGUGAAGAAAUUGUAGGGCAAUUUAUUCACGUCUGUUCAUUCUGUUGCUUGGCAAGACUGAAUUGCUCACUUUAGUUCUUGUAGCAUUGUUCAGUGUCCCUAGCCGUUGUUGUUUCAGCUUCUUAUUCCUCUUCUUAUUUUGACGAUGAGAGAAGGAGACGUGGGACUUGGGCUUGGGGUCUGUUCAUUGUUUGUCACGGCCUACUUUUCUCAUGAAAAUGCUCAAUAUGAUAUACUUGGGAUUCUUAAAGUUUAGUGAUCUCAGCCAGCAUGAUUACCAUUCUUUGUGCAACUGUGUUGUCUUGCAUUUGCUAGAAAGUAUUGAAAUAUGCUAAAAUGCAGCUUAUGUAAACUUAGAGGAACAAGCUGUUGAUUGAAGGUUGAAAUCUAGCUUGUACACUGGCCUUUUGUAGUCAACUUUCCAUUUUGGUUUCACUAGUUUAUCCAUUUUUUUUUUAUAUUUGCUAUCAUAUAUAACUUCAGUGUCAUGUGUUGUAGGUGGUCACUCGCUAUUCUUCUUCAAUAUUUUCCGGACUUCAGAAGAAGGGGAAGGAGUUUUUGUCUAAAUUGUUCGCUGUAGACAUUCUGUUUGGGGUGGCAGCCAACAUUGCUCUGGAUAAAAUGAUGGCAACUUAUGCUCGUAUGGGGCCACUAUCAUCUGCUUCCAGUGGUUUUUUGGGGCACCUGCAAAGUGCUUGUGCUUCUCUACCAAGCAGGUAUAAUAAUACUUUUUAGGACCAACGUGCAAAUACAAGCUUCAAAACUAAUAUUCUUUGGACACAAGCCACUUUUUUUAGAUUGUUUAUCAGAUUUUCCUCUGAUCUUGCAAGCUUACAAACUCCUUGAUUUUGAUGGAUUUUUGGACUAAUUCUAUGAGAUGGUUUUAGGGACACUACGCAGCGGAAAAAUAAAAAAAAAUUUCCCUAAAACCAUCCAGGAAUCACCCUAGAUUUUACGUAUGAUGUACUAAAAGUAGGGUUUUAGGAUUACCUUAAUCCAAGCGGCGUCUCCUUGCAGCGUUGUUUGAGGAUGGUCAGCCCUUGAGCAGUCCAAUCUAACUGUCUCUACUGAUAUCCACGCUAGAGCAACCCUGGAUCGUCUCACGAACUAUGUAUUGAAGAGAAAAGGUGCUAGCCUUUUUACUCUCUUCGAACGUAUAAUUUUCUCUCUCUCGUAUGUGACGCUCACACUGCGCUCACACACUCUUUCUGUAUCUCAGCUAAACCCAAAAAAAAAAAAAUCAUCGGAGAAAGAGAGAGAUGUAUCUCAUAUGAUAGAUUGAUUAGUCUUCUUGUUUGAUUCAAAAACAAAAACCUCCGACUUCUCAUCACAUAAGACUCUAUCUAUCAUUAUCUGAUAGAUAAGAGAUAACCAUUUACUCUUAUCUGCUCAAAUAGGCCUGGGAUUAAUUUUCUUUUAAAAUUAAACCCCGACAUUUUACAUAGUUUUAAUCCAGGAUUCAAUCUCUAUUGCGUGUGACCCAAUAGGUCCCGAAUGUAUUAGUAAUAAUUAUGGUUUAAUAAUUAGAUAAAAUAAACAACUUUAUUUUAUCAUAACUUAUAAUAAAUAAUUAACCCAUAAUUAUAAAUCACGAGCGGUGUCUAGCAACACAUCGCGACUGCCCAAUUAUUCGGAAUUAGUCAAGGGAAUUUGACCUAACCUUUCCGUGAAAAAUUACCGUGUAAUUAUUAUCCUUUCACCAAAGAUAUCCAAUCAGUCAGGAAUAAGGAAUAAGUGCCAAUUCCUGAUGACUAAUUAAAUUUUCUAGUUCCCGAAAUUUACCCUUAAUUAGGUUAAAUUGAAGACAUUCUUCAAUUUACCUAAUAGUCGACUUUAGGGUUAAUUUCUCACUAGUGGCCAUCCGGAUAUCAACUCCUUCUAUCAGAGUGGUAAAUCCUAUCUUGAUCACCCAUUUUCUUUACGUGCUUCACACUACAUCCAACUUCUACACUUUAAGGUACUCACGAAGAGUAACAAGUAAAUAGAGUCAAAAUGUAGCGAUUCACACUCAAGAUACUAUGGUGAUCUCAAGUCGCAGGAUCACUUACACAAUUUUUCACUAGAGAUACACCAUUGGCACUAGAUAGAUAUCCUAACGGGAUCUCUAAACGGAUCACUCCAAUGCAUUUGUACUUUUCAAAUCAUCUACACAUUAGCCUAAGUAUCUUUAUACCAUAGUUGAUGAGAACAACCACUAAUUACAUUAAUUAGAGGCUAACUGUGUACUAGUUUUACCGUACUAAAGAUGUCCUAUUUCAUUAGUACAAAAACUAGGGAAUUUUAAUAAUAUUACUAUAAAUGUGAUUGAUAUCUCAUAGUCACCAACUCUUGUGACUAUCAUCACAUUAGUAAUAUUAUAAGGACUUUAUCGGUUGUAUCUAAUAUUUAACAGAUAAAUAAGAAGUUAUUAAAAUACAAAACAUAUAAUAAGGAAUGUAUAAAAUAAAAAAAUACAUUGUUUUAGGGCAUACAUUCCAACAAUCUCCCACUUGCACUAAAACACAUUAUCCAUGUUUUUCAUCCCAUAAGAUAAUACAUGACUAUCAUGCUUCUUUUGAGGAAGAGCUUUAGUAAGAGGAUCAGCUAUGUUAUCCUCUGUGGAGACUCUCUCUAUCUUUACAUCAUUCCUAGCAACAAUUUCUCUAAUCAAGUGAAAUCUCCUAAGCACAUGUUUGGAUCGCUGAUGAGACCUAGGUUCCUUGGCUUGAGCUAUAGCUCCAUUGUUAUCACAGUACAAAGUGACCGGAUCAACAAUGGUUGGAACCACACCAAGUUCAGUUACGAACUUCUUGAUCCAAACUGCUUCCUUAGCUGCUUCCGCGGCCGCAAUGUAUUCAGCCUCUGUUGUAGAAUCUGCUGUGGUGUCUUGUUUGGAACUCUUCCAACAGACAGCACCUCCAUUAAGAGUAAAAAUGAAGCCUGACUGUGAUUUACAAUCAUCCUUAUCUGAUUGAAAACUCGCAUCAGUAUAGCCUUUGAGCUCUAACUCACCCUUUCCAUAUAUUAAGAACAAAUCUUUGGUCCUUCUUAAGUACUUAAGAAUGUUCUUAACGCUAUCCAAUGACCCUCACCUGGAUUAGCUUGAAAUCUGCUUGUGACACUCAGAGCAUAGGAGACAUCAGGUCUUGUACAUAACAUAGCAUACAUAAUUGAUCCAAUUGCUGAAGCAUAUGGAACAUUGUGCAUCUUAUCAGUCUCAACUUUGUCUUUGGACACAUGUUUUUAGAAAGGCUUAUACCCUGAGUCAUAGGUAAAUUACCCUCUUAGACUGAUCCAUGCUAAACCUUUUUAGCACUUUUCUAUGUAUGUAGAUUGUGAAAGACCCAGUAGCCUUUUAGAUCUAUCCCUAUAGAUCUUAAUGCCUAAUAUAUAGGCCGCUUCUCCUAAAUCUUUCAUGGAAAAGUUCUUCGACAACCAACCCUUUACCGAUUGUAACAUCGGUAUGUUGUUUCCCAUUAUUAAUAUGUCAUCUACAUAUAAAAUAAGGAAAACAAUUGAACUCCCACUAACUUUCUUAUACACACAAGGUUCAUCCGGAUUUUGAGAAAUCCAAACUCUUUGAUCGUCUCAUCGAAUCGGAUGUUCCAACUCCUAGAUGCCUGCUUAAGUCCAUAAAUGGACUUUUGUAGCUUACAUAUUUGACUAGGAUUUGUAGAUGUAAAGCCUUCAGGUUGUGUCAUAUACACAUCCUCAUGCAAUGUCCCGUUAAGGAAUGCGGUCUUUACAUCCAUCUGCCAAAUCUCAUAGUCAUGAUAUGCUGCUAUGGCAAGCAAUAUCCGAAUGGAUUUAAGCAUAGCUACUGGUGAGAAAGUUUCAUCAUAAUCGAUUCCCUCUUUCUGCUUGUAGCCUUUGGCUACCAGUCUAGCUUUAUAGGUAACUACAUUACCAUCCAUGUCAGUCUUCUUCUUGAAGAUCCAUUUGCACCCUACAGGUUUUAUCCCUUCAGGUGGAUCAACUAAGGUCCACACCUUAUUGUCAUACAUGGAAUUCAUUUCGGAAUUCAUGGCUUCUAACCAUUUAGAGGAGUCUGGAUUACUUAUUGCCUCUUGGUAGGUAGUAGGUUCGUCAUCUUGAAUGACUAGAACAUCAUUGCUAUGGCUCACAAGAAAUUGGUAUCUCUUGGGAGUUGAGCGUGUUCUUACUGACCUACGAAGCCCUUGUGUAUCAACAGCUUCAGUAUCUUCCCCAUCAUUAUGUGGUUGAAGCUGUUCUUCAUUAGAUCGUUCAAUGUUUGUUGGAUGAUCCUGAAUUUCUUCAAGAUCUAUUCUACUCCUACUACUUCUUUCUAGAAUGUAUUCUUUCUCUAGAAAAAUAGCAUGUUUUGAGACAAACACCUUUUGCUCAAUUGGAUUGUAGAAAUAGUAUCCUAUAGACUCUCUUGGAUACCCUACAAACAAACAUUUGUCAGAUCUAGGUUCAAGCUUGUCUGACUCUCCCUCUUCUUCACAUAAGCUGGGCAGCCCCAAACCUUCAUAUAAGACAGAUUUGGUUUCUUUCCUUUCCAUAUCUCAUAUGGUGUGGAGUCGACAACUUUAGUGGGUACUCUAUUAAGAGUAUAAGAGGCUGCAUCUAAUGCAAAUCCCCAAAACGAUUUUGGGGCACUUGAGUGGCUCAUCAUAGACAAAUGCCAAUCACGCCAACAAGGUCAAUGAACCAUAUCCAAUAAGGUUCGGUUUCUCCUUUCAGAUACACCAUUUAACUGUGGUGUACCUGGAGGAGUCCAUUGUGGAACUAUUCCAUUAUCCUUUAAAUAAACUCCAAACUCGUCAUUUAAGUAUUCUCCACCACGAUCAGAUCGUAGUAUCUUAAUACUUUUAUUGGUUUGUUUUUCUACUUCAUUCUUGAAUUCCUUAAACUUUUCAAAGGAUUCAGAUUUGUAUUUCAUUAAAUACACGUAACCAUAUCUCGAAUGGUCAUCUGUGAAGGUGAUGAAGUAUGAAAAACCUCCUCUAGCAGUGAUCGACAUUGGGCCGCAUACAUCAGUGUGUACUAGCCAAGUAAAUCACUGGCUCGUUCCCCUUUUCCAGUAAAGGGCAUUUUGGUCAUUUUCCAAGUAAACAAGCUUCGCAUGUAUCAUAUGAUUCAUAAUCAAAUGAAUCCAAGUAUCCAUGUUGGUAUAACUUGGAGAUGCGUUUUUCAUUUACAUGACCAAGCCUACAGUGCCAGAGGUAGGUUUUAUUUAGUUUAUCUGUUCUCAUUCUUUUUCACUCACAUUGAGAAUUUGAUGAUCAAGAUCUAGAAUAUAUAAACCGUUAUUCCAACUUCCAGAACCAUAAAACACACCAUUUUUAGAAAAAGAACAACAUUUAUUCUCCUGGGUUAUCCGAAACCCAUUUAAAUCCAAGCAGGAAAUAGAAAUGAUGUUUGUAGUAAGUGCUGGAACACAGUAACAAUUUAAUAAUUCUAAAAUCAAUCCACUGGGUAAAGUGAUAUAAUAAGUCCCUACAGCUAAAGCAACAACUUUUGCUCCAUUGCCCACGUAGGGUGACUUCUCCUUUUCCCAGCUUUCUACUGUCCCUUAGACCCUGCAUAGAUGUGCAAAUGUGAGAACCACAUCCGGUAUCUAAUACCCAAGAGUCUGAUUUGGAAGUAGACACAUUAAUCUCAAUCAUAUAUGUACCUGAUGAUGAAGCUUCAGCAAGCUUCUUUUGCUUCAGGCUCUCCAAGUAUGACUUGCAGUUCCUUUUCCAAUGUCCAGUUUGAUUACAAUGGAAGCAGGUUGCUUUGGACUGGUCCGCCUUUGCCUUUUUGGGCUUUUGGGUGGGCUUGUUUUUGGAUUUCUUAAAUCCCUUUUCUUGCCUCUUCCUCUUCUUAGAAGAAGUAACGACAAGCACACCAGUAGAGCCCUUUCCCUUUUUGAUUUCUUUCUCAGCAGUUUUCAGCACAUUCAACAAUUGAGGCAAAGUGUGCUGCAGAUUAUUCAUCUGAUAGUUCAUAACGAACUGUGAGAAAGAAUCUGGCAGAGAUUGGAGUACUAAAUCAACAUUCAGCUCCUUAUCCAUCUUAAAACCUAAUUCGGCCAGUUUUUCAAUUAGCCCAAUUAAUUUUAAGACAUGUGGAGCAACAGGUGCUCCCUCUGCCAUCUUGCACCUGAACAAUUCUUUAGAGGUAUCAUAUCUAACCGUCCUUGAUUGUUGUUCAAACAACUCUCUCAGGUGUUGUACAAUAUCAUACGCCCCCAUGUUCAUGUGCUGCUGCUGAAGCUGAGGAGUCAUGGAAGCUAUCAUGAUACAUGAGGCUUCCCUAUUGUCAUCCUUAUGUUUCUUAUAAGCAUUUCUAACAGCAGCAGGUGCAGUAGGUUCAGGCUCUUGAGGCAUUGGACCAUCAAGUACAUACUCAAUUUUCUCAUGAGUGAGAACGAUAAGGACGUUACGAUGCCAAUCAAGAAAGUUCGUGUCGUUGAGUUUGCAAUCAGUAAGAAUAGUACGAAGGCUCAAAUUGUUACUCAUUCUACAACAAAAUGAAAGAUAGAAUUUGUUAGAAAAAUGUUUUGUUUAAUAAAAUCAUAAAAACUUCAAAAUUAUGAUUUUAUUUCCACUAUUUUUUUUCAAAUCAAUUACCCUCUAAAAUUGAAUCGGGAAUUUCAAAAUUCCAUAGUGGCUAGGAUCCUAUCUUAAUUUAUUUUCGACCUUGAGUGUGUCCCAACAAAUCGAAAAUAAUUAUGAAAGGUAGGUACUUUACCAAUUACAACUUAUUGCAAUUCCUAGAUCAGUUGGGUGUCAACUCUUGACUUUAAAUCUCUAUGGAUCAACCCAACACUUGCCUCUAAAAUUAAUGAUUUUGAGUGAAUCCCAACAAAUCAUAAUUUUAGUUAAAUCAAACCCAUCAUUCUUGAGAACAUUUCUCAUAGCAAAAACACGUAGUAAGUAAGGCAGCCUUGGGUGAAUCCCAACAAGCUAGCACUUAAUAACUACUCUUGUUUUAUACUAUAAUGAUGGAAGGCAUUUUAUUGAUUUAAUAUUAUAGUUGAGGGAUUUGUCUCUUUUUCCAAAAAUAUUUUAUAAUUAAAAUUUUGGAAAAAUUGCUCAUUUGGUCUCAUCAAUAAACAUGCAUAUAACCAUUUCAAACUUAUAAACAUGAAUUUAAAUCGUGGAUGGUUGUGGAUAUUCCUAAACUAAUUUCCCCGGCCACUAAGGAAAUUAGCAAUUUACUAAAGUCUCUGAAUACGAGAUGAACCCCUUCGUCGUCGUAUGCCUCCUUUCUUCUUUUCAAAGUUACAAUUUCUGUAUCGAUAAUUUAAAUUCCUAUCAUCUAUUCCUAUCUAUUGUACAUUACAAAUAGUAUAGAAGAAACCCCGAGUUACAUUCGGGGGAAUUUAGAUGAGAAAGGAAAUUACAAUUAGAAAAUAAGAAAGGCAGGACACGCAGGCCCUAUUUUAAAAUUAAUUACAACCAUUCAAACCUAGAAUGAUUGUAACCUUCCAAAAUACCACAAUCAUAUUGCGUGCUAUAUCCACAACCAUCCACCAUGCAUUUUCACAAUUUAAACAACUUUAAAUAAAAGAAAAGCAUGUAAAAUAAGCAAUCUCAAUUCAUGGAUUAAUUGGAUUUAAUUCCUAAGGUCCCAAACAAAUUUUGGGUCCAUGCAUACGCAAGAAAUAUUGGUAAAAUUAAAUUUUAUUAGGUCAAAUUUAUCCUCAACUAAUUUGAGGAAAGAAUGGGAAAAUAAUUCAAAUUAAUCAAUUAGUUCUAAUUUAUUUCCCAACCUAAUAAUAUCUGAAAUAAAUGAUUCCAUAACACAUUUUAACAAUUAAAAUGGGAUUUAAUUCAGAAGAUUUCCAAAAGUUCAAAACUUCAAGCUUUAAGGGGAAAAAUUUUUUUUUUUCUUAAACCACUGGACACCACCGGCAGCUACCAUUGGACACCACCUCUUCAGUCACCACCGCUGAGGUCUCCACUGACCAUCAACAGCGGCAACCACCAGGGAGUUUACUGGAAACAAGCUGCAACAUCCAGUCGGCUGCAACAUCAAGCAGCAAACGUGCCUGAUUGCUGCUGAUCCUCGUUGUUGUCGCCUGUUCGCUGGAUAGCGGAGCUACCACCGCAACAGCCACCACCACUGGAGUCUCCACUGACCACCAGUGGCAGCGGCUGCUGGUAGCAGCCACCGCAGGCCAUGGGCAGCAACCGUGAGGAGGCUGCUGUGCCCUCGCUGAUGUCUGCAACAAUUUUGUUGCGUUUUUGUCCCAGAGAGCUCACAGCUCUUCUACCCAGCAACCACUACCAGGCGUACAACCUUCCACUGCCACCAAGGAAAAACCACCAUGGCCUCCCACGGCAGCAGCAGCUGGCGGCAGCCUUGCAGCCGCAACAUCGCAGCAACCGCAAGUUUGCGUUGCAGUCCUUGCAGCCGCAACAUCGCAGCAACCGCAGGUUUGCUAACGUUGCUUUUUUUUUUUUUUUUUUGGUCCAAUGAUCAUCCUGCAACUUUUGCAGAUGAUCAACUAUGACCAUGGGUGACUCAAAUCCACGAAAGAAAGAAAAGCCCAGAUGCUUAUGAUGUCCGCCGCUUCCUAAGCUUCGUGCGCAUAACGCAGCUUUCAUAAGCUUUCAUGAAAAACCCUUUUUUUUUCCUUUUUUUUUUUGUUUUGAAAAACCCAAAAACAAUUCUUCCAUAAUUCCGCAUAUCAAUUAAAUCCAACCAAUAAUAUUAAUCCAUGAAUCCAAAAUUGCUUAAAAUCAUACGUAAAAUUCUUAGGCAUGGCUCUGAUACCACUGUUGGUUUUAGGGACACUACGCAGCGGAAAAAUAAAAAAAAUUUUCCCUAAAACCAUCCAGGAAUCACCCUAGAUUUUACGUAUGAUGUACUAAAAGUAGGGUUUUAGGAUUACCUUAAUCCAAGCGGCGUCUCCUUGCAGCGUUGUUUGAGGAUGGUCAGCCCUUGAGCAGUCCAAUCGUCCUGCCUCUACUGAUAUCCACGCUAGAGCAACCCUGAAUCGUCUCACGAACUAUGUAUUGAAGAGAAAAGGUGCUAGCCUUUUUACUCUCUUCGAACGUAUAAUUUUCUCUCUCUAUCGUAUGUGACGCUCGCACACUCUUUCUGUAUCUCAGCUAAACCCAAAAAAAAAAAAAAACCAUCGGAGAAAGAGAGAGAUGUAUCUCAUAUGAUAGAUUGAUUAGUCUUCUUGUUUGAUUCAAAAACAAAAACCUCAGACUUCUCAUCACAUAAGACUCUAUCUAUCAUUAUCUGAUAGAUAAGAGAUAACCAUUUACUCUUAUCUGCUCAAAUAGGCCUGGGAUUAAUUUUCUUUUAAAAUUAAACCCCGACAUUUUACAUAGUUUUAAUCCAGGAUUCAAUCUCUAUUGCGUGUGACCCAAUAGGUCCCGAAUGUAUUAGUAAUAAUUAUGGUUUAAUAAUUAGAUAAAAUAAACAACUUUAUUUUAUCAUAACUUAUAAUAAAUAAUUAACCCAUAAUUAUAAAUCACGAGCGGUGUCUAGCAACACAUCGCGACUGCCCAAUUAUUCGGAAUUAGUCAAGGGAAUUUGACCUAACCUUUCCGUGAAAAAUUACCGUGUAAUUAUUAUCCUUUCACCAAAGAUAUCCAAUCAGUCAGGAAUGAGGAAUAAGUGCCAAUUCCUUGAUGACUAAUUAAAUUUUCCAGUUCCCGAAAUUUACCCUUAAUUAGGUUAAAUUGAAGACAUUUUUCAAUUUACCUAAUAGUCGACUUUAGGGUUAAUUUCUCACUAGUGGCCAUCCGGAUAUCAACUCCUUCUAUCAGAGUGGUAAAUCCUAUCUUGAUCACCCAUUUUCUUUACGUGCUUCACACUACAUCCAACUUCUACACCUUAAGGUACUCACGAAGAGUAACAAGUAAAUAGAGUCAAAAUGUAGCGAUUCACACUCAAGAUACUAUGGUGAUCUCAAGUCGCAGGAUCACUUACACAAUUUUUCACUAGAGAUACACCAUUGGCACUAGAUAGAUAUCCUAACGGGAUCUCUAAACGGAUCACUCCAAUGCAUUUGUACUUUUCAAAUCAUCUACACAUUAGCCUAAGUAUCUUUAUACCAUAGUUGAUGAGAACAACCACUAAUUACAUUAAUUAGAGGCUAACUGUGUACUAGUUUUACCGUACUAAAGAUGUCCUAUUUCAUUAGUACAAAAACUAGGAAAUUUUAAUAAUAUUACUAUAAAUGUGAUUGAUAUCUCAUAGUCACCAACUCUUGUGACUAUCAUCACAUUAGUAAUAUUAUAAGGACUUUAUCGGUUGUAUCUAAUAUUUAACAGAUAAAUAAGAAGUUAUUAAAAUACAAAACAUAUAAUAAGGAAUGUAUAAAAUAAAACAAAUACAUUGUUUUAGGGCAUACAUUCCAACAAUAUACAUUGACAUUACUACUGUUUGAUUCUAUUAUCUUGUCUCAGUAAUAAUGAUCACGUACAUGUUGCCUUGUAUGGAAACAUCGUUUUUAAUCUGUAAAUGGGUAGUUGAGAACCAAGAGUAUUGUUGGGAUGAACUGCUGAUGAUAACAGUGAUCAAUGAAUUGAAACAUAGUUAUAGUGAUUCAAAAGCUCAGUGUUUCAUGUUUACAAACUUGAAUGUACUGGCAGGCAUAAAAGAUGUGAAUAAUUGUGUUCCAUAUGUUCCAGUUUGGAGUCCAUCUUAUAUGUAUGACAUAUGAAGGAGCAUUAUUGAUUUAUAUUUGUCAUGACUAACGUAGUUAUGGAGGUAAUAUUUAUUGUCAUAGCUUGUAGGUCAAAUCCCGCAGGUUGUUGCCUUAGGUAGUGAUGAUUGGGUGAUGUCCUGCAGAAGUAAAUCCAGUUUCUGCAUUGGACAAUCAGGAUUUAUAGGCUUAGUUAUCAGUUUGCAGGAUACAUUUAUGAGUAAAUGGCAGAGUACAUCCAAGUACCAGAAUUAGGGAGUUUUCCCUUUCCAAUUCAAUGACAGAAAUACAUAACCUCAUAUUUCCCCAAGCCACCCCGAAGCAGUGGAAACUAUUUAACUGAAUACAUCUUAAUUUUUAUGGACCCUAAUAUUGAUUCUUUAAUUAGGUUUUCAACUAAAAUUUACUGACCAUUUCACUCCAAUAAGGUUGCAUCUGUCCUGAAUCUCACAAGAAAAAACUCUUUGUUCAUAACCUCUUCUCUUAUUGGACAUUUUGAGUUUGCUAAGUUUGUGUAAUCUGUGCAUGUUGCUUGCUGUUCCAACGGAGUAUUUAAAGGCCUUAAUUGUGAAUGUUUUUAUGAUAGUAUAUUUGAAGGUGGAGGUCCAGGAUUCAACUUUUCUUUGGAGCAACAGGUUGCUGCCUAUUUUUACAAGGUAAUAAAUGUUACAUGUAUCUAUUGACUGUCAGUACUUUCAGGAAUUGCAGAAUAGAAGAAGUAAAGGAUCACAUCCCCUAUUACAUAAAUCUUUGUAUAUAAACUGUUUCCCUUCAUAUUUGCCGAGCUUGGUUGUUGGAGAUUUCUCUGUAUUGCAUUCUUGCACUCCUAGUUCUUGUGUGAUACCUAAUGGGAGUCUCAGGGUGUGAUUCUUGUUUACUAUUUCUGUUUCAUUGACUACAUAAUUCUCAUGCUUAAUACAGGGUAUCUUGUUUGGCGCUGUUGGACUUGGUUGUGGGCUUACUUGUCACAACAUAAUUAAUUUUGUCAUGACUGGUAAUAGGUAAAGAUUCUAAUUGGACAACCUCUUCUUACCACUUAAUAUUACACUAAGAAACAAAGUGGUUUUAAGCUUUUGAUGGUCUUGUUAUACUGUUAUGUAUGGGGAUACUGAGUUAAAGAAACUAUCAUCAUCGUUGGAACUCAUUCUGAGGUUCUUACUCAAAAUCUAAACAGUAAGAACUUGGUUCAUGUCGCAAAUAAUUCAGCUUGUUCAGUGCCAUUAGCAGAACCUAAAUGAACCUAAAUAAUUCAUCUUGCUCUUAGAAUCUGGAUUUUGAACGAUAAACUUAAAGGAGCAAAGUUUUGAGGACCCAAUAAGCUGUUACAAUGUAAUCACAUUUUCCUCAGUCAGGAAUUUAUUAAAAGAAUACCUUCAUAUCCACCUCCAUGCUUUCCCUUUAAGCAGCUGGCAAACUGAAGAAUUGAGUUGUUAAGAAGUUAUAUAACUGACUGUGAGAUGACUAGAAAUUUGGGCAUUAUGGCUGUUCCAAAUUGCAACAGAUUUAUGCGGUAUUUCUACUUUGAUGUUGCAGGAACACCAAGAAGUCAGAAGAGGGCAUUCCUGUUUCCUACGUAGUUAAAAAUGCUGCCCUCUGGGGUAGGGUACCUCUUACUACUCAACCUAAGAAAUUCAUUUCUCUGCAUAUUUAUCUCUGAUGAUGAUUUAGUCAUUUAUAACCCAAACAGAGCAGUUCAAUCUCCCAUAUAUCUGUGAUUCUUCUCUAUUACUUGUCAGUGUUUCUUGUUAGUUAACGGUUUCCCUUUCCUAAAUUUUUCAUUGAUGGCCAUCUAGAUGCAUGAAAAAUCGAACUUUUUAGGUGCUUGGUAAAUGUGAUUUUCUGGUUUAAUCCAACCAACCAUGUGAUGUCACACAAUUGACUACCAUUGUGAAUAAAACUCCGAGCCGAAAAGGACACAUUCUGAAUUGCUCCUGCAAAGAGUUGCUGCUCUGCAUUCGUAUGCUUUAAUUCAGUAUUCUCAUUGGUCACCAGGUGUUCUCCUUCCACUUUCUUCUGGUUCCCGCUCUCAGAUUGUCAAGGGAUUGGAUCGAUUGGUUCAAGCAUCACCCCUAGCAAAGCAGGUUCCACUUGCUGCACUGGCUUUUGCAGUGGGCAUGCGAUUUGCCAGCAAUAUAUAUGGCGGGCUGCUGUUUGUGCACUGGGCUAAUUGGAGUGGGAUGAUGAAGCGUGGAUCAUGACUCCUCCCUUUGGAUCUUGUAUCUUUGUUGUACUCUCCAUCUCUCUCCUUUUUCAUUUUGAUGAGUUGCUAUAGCAUGUUGUACCAUUUGGUUUCAAAACGAGAACUUGACAUAACCACGAGAACAUUCGGAUGCAAUAAUGAAGAUUGGCAAUCUGGAUCAGGAUGAAACUCUGUGAUGAGUUUGAGAAUUAUGCGUGCAAGUCCUUCUUUUUUAACCUUUUUUUGGCUUGUUUGGCAUGGUUUAGCCUAAUUCAAACUUUCACCAAGAUUAACCAAAAUUAUUAACGCUUAGGACUCAUGAGUCAUGACUACUGCAACCCAAAUGGAUUUGGUUGAUUUGGGUCUAGGGAGCGAUGCCAUCUAAAUAGGUCAGCCUAAUUCAAACUUUCCUGAAGUUUUUACUGGCAACUUUUGCUAGUAUGGGGGCGAUGCAAUCUGCGUCCAGUGGUUUCUUGGGGCACCUCUAACGUGCCUUUGCUUCUGUACCCCGCAGGUAUAAUAACUUAAUAGGAUAAACUCCCGAUUAAAAGCUACAAAAACGAGGAGCCCUUAUGCCGCUAGCGAGCCACUUCGUUUUAAUACUAUGUUUUAUCAGAUUUCUCCCCGAUUCCGCAAUCUUAUGAACUCCUUGAUCUCGAUGGAACUUUUAACCAUUUUUAUGAGAAAUGUAUUGACAUUACUGUUCGCUUGUAUGCCAUUGUCUUGUCGAAGUUGAUGUUAAUUACUGCACCUCUGUUGACUUGCAGCGGGACAAAUGAUCGAUACAGAGGCAGUUGAAAACCCAAAAGUGUUGUUGGGAAUAAACGAUUGAUGAUAAAAUUUUGCAUCAGUUAUUGCAAUUGAAAAGCUUAUUAGAGUUUCAUGCACACGAAACUGGAGCGUAACCUCAGGCGUAAAAGAUCUGAAUAUAUAUAACAAUAUUGUUCCAUGUGUUGCAGUCUGGAGGUCCAUCUUAGGAGGGUAAACCCAAGGAAAUGCAUGUACGAUGCAAUGAUGAGCAUCAUAUCUUCACCAAACAUUUGUCAGCACAAGUAUAAUUAUGGAGGUAAUAGUUUUGUCGUAGCUAACUUGUAGGUUUUGUCACAAACUUGUAGGUCAAAACCUGGAGAAUGAUGUUGUUGGCACUUGGCAGUGAUGAAUGCGCGAUUACAAGAAGUACAUCCAGUUUUUGCAUUGCACAAUUAGGACUUGUAGUCUUGAUCACCAGCUUGCAGGAUACAGGUUUGAGUAAAUUAAAUUGCAAGGAUUAGAGGAGUCUUACCUUUUGGAUUAACCUCAUUUUUGCCUUCCCAUGGAUUGGAUAGCAUUAGCUGAACAUAUGUUUAACCGACACCGAUCCAACUUUGAUUCUUUGAACAGGUUUUCAUGGUUAACCAAUUCAGUCUUUCAUCAGUCGACCUGCGCGUCCCAAGAAAAACCUCUAUGCUCUACACUUUCCGCUUCUCACACCUGUUGAGUUUACUGAUCGAUUCACUACAAUAUGUGCUUUUUACUUGCUGCUGCAGUUGUUUAUUUGAGAAUGUUUUCGUGGCAGUAGUGUUUUUGAAGGUGGAAAUCCAGGAUCACAGCAACUGGUUGCCCACCGACCUUUACCAGGUAAUAAAUGUUAAAUAUGUCCAUCUGUGGAUCAUCUGUCCUCUCAGAAUUGCAAAUCACAAGUCUUGAAGGAGCAUAUAUCACGUUAUUCACCAACCAUAUAAACUGAAGGAAGGAUUAAACUUUCAAGAAAUCAAUACCAUAUAGCUGGGCUUUGGCAUGGUGAUUUUAGACUAUUAGAAAUCUAUAUAUAUAUAUAUAUGUUCUUCAAGGUCCUAUAAGCAUGUGUGAUUUUCUUGUCAUCGUACUGAAAUUCUUGCAGAGACGACUAGAGAACUUGGCAUUUAUGGCAGUUUCAGGUGACCAGAUUUAUGCGGGGUCUCUAUUUUGUGUCGUUGUCGUAACAUCUUGUAAUCGUAGAAUUUGUUUUCAAGAAUCAGACAGAACCAGGAGAGCAUUUGGAUUUAGAAGUAAAGGUUAGCAAUGGAACGAAGAAGAGAAAUGUGUAGAUUUUUAACAUGAUAAAUUUAUUUUUUAAAAAUCAGAAAUUUCACUCAGAGCCAAUGUGCGAAAAUCCCAGCUUUUAUCCCUAUUUAUGUCGUUGAUGCUUCUUUUUAAUUUGACUCAUAAAAUUGCCCAAUGUUUUCGGUAAUUAAUAGCUUACAUUUACGGGAUUUCCUAGAGAAACUUUUCAACUCUUAAAGUAGAUUUGUUUUGCGACACUGUUGUACCGUUAACAUGUCUUAACAACAAUUAAGAGGAGAAGAAUAAUUUUGUGACAACGACACACUCGAAUGAUGGAUGCAUAAGUACCAAUGUACUCUUUUUUUUUUUUCCCCUAUUCUUCCACGUUCAACUGUUAGACAUAGAAUUCAAAUCUUUAAAUUUGAUAGUGAUAAAGACUUUAAAAACUAUGUCCUGACCAUUGAACCGACUCCAGUGAUUGAAGAUAACUUUGUACGAUGUAAAGUAAUUUGAUUCACAAACUGAUUAAAAAAGCGUAACUGGACUAGAAUUAUGACCGGAGCAAAGUUUAUUGACAACGGAAGGUCCUUUUUUUGAUCUAAUCGAUUCAAUUGGUUGUUGUAGAUUCUUGUCAAUAAGGACUGCUUGGAGAACAGGAUCCGUAUCAUUCUUUUUUCUGCACAUGUAUUUUUAUGUUGUUUUUUAACCCUAAAAAAAAAUGUUUUUCUGUUACUUAUGACAGGACGACUUCUCUUAAUAGAACACGAAUGAAUGAAUACUUGCAUGCAGACACGCAUAAAACUGAUAAUAAAGAUGAGGAAUCUUGAACCAAGAAAGCACCAAAUACAUUUCUUUGGAAGUUUGGUUAGAUGCUUCGUCCAUGAUCCAUUAUUAUUGUUAUUAUUAUUUUAGCAAGAGAAGCAUGGAAUUUAUUUAACAAGCGAAAAGGGUCAGAUUUAGUACAUAGAUAGUUUUUAAUUUAAUAAUUUCCAAGAAAAUAAAAAAGAAAGAAAAUUUCAGUCUAAUUAAAGCGUGUCAAAUUCAAAUAUGAAGGAUACAUAUCAAAAAAAAAAGAAAGAGUAAAUCUUAUAUACACUGACAAUAUAUACACUAUCACACGAUUGGAUGCACGACACAUGUGCAAAAUUUAGAUUUCAAAUUUAAAUUUAGAUUAUGUAUCAUGCAUGCAAUGGUAAAAGUGUAUAUAUUGUCAGUGUAUAAAAGAUUAAUUUAAAAAGAAAUUACUUAAUUAAACUUGUACAAACACUUAACAUACGCAAACAAAAAAAUCUUAAUUUAAUUUAUUUAUAUGAAUUAAGAAGAAGGUUAAUUCUCUAUGAUUAAAAGAGGAAAACAUUGCUUUAUUUGAAUUGCAUCUUUAGAAGCACUUUAAAAUAUUAUAAUACUAGAACAAUUUUUUUGAAAUUGACUUAUGUCAGCUAAAAAAGAAUAGACCAAAAAAUCUCAAAAGUUCUCUCGAAUAAUAGGAAAACAUAUUAUUGCCAUCUUUUUAUUUCCAUGUUUCUUUUUCAAAUCCGCAUUAUAAAAUUACUAAAUCACCCUCCACAACCUUCGCAUUCCAUUAUCCCGCCUGUAUAUAAUACGCCGUAUGUUUGUUCACUCUGCAGUCUGCACCUUAUCUUCUUCAGUUCUUGCAGCAGCAGCAGCAGCAAUGCCCGACCCAAACUCAGCACAAGAGCCCGGAAAUGACACGAACCCAGAUGACGUAUUCCCAGAAGAAGAGCCAGAAGAGGAAGAAGAACCCGAGGAAGAAUCCUCCUCUGACUCGGACUCCGAGUCCGAACCCGAAAUAUACACCCGCCCGGGGAGGCCGACUUAGACUUAGACGAUGAAGAAAACAACACUCCGGAAGCUAACAUUAAGAGGUUCAUAAAGUCUUGAAUUCGAAGAGGUUAAGAAGACAGCAAAAAGAGGAGGAAGAAGACAUAGUGUACCACGAAGACCUCUUCGAUUUUCCCAAGGAUAAAGAAAAUUGGACUGAGGAAGACUUGAAGGAGCUUUGGCUGAUGCUCCUGUGGAAAUGACCAAACCGGGGUGGGACCCCAAUUGGCUGAUGAAGAUGAGAUUGAAACUAUUAAGGACAUGGUGAGCGAGGAAGAGACCCGCCAAUUGCGCCCUUUUACGUGCCUUAUAGGAAGCAUUUUCCUGUGAUACCUGAUGACCAUUAUGAUAUUUCCAAUCCCAAGGCCGCUAUUGAAGAGCUUGAUAGAAUUGAGGAGUUUCUUGACUUGGGUUAGCUACAUUUUCCCCGAUGGCAGCUCGUAAGUAGUACUAGUAGCAGUCGUUAAGUAAUGAUAAAAGGUUUUUGAAGUCUUUUAGUAAUAUCUUGCUUGUUUCGUUUCUUGGUUUUUGAUUAACUUAGUAAUAGAAAGUUUGAUUUUUAUAAAUGUUCUUGAUAUUGGAUUUGUUGGAUAUUUCCAUAAGAAAGUAAAGUUUCCUUUGGGUAUUUUCUGAUUGUUGAAUAUAGUUGGGCUUUGUAAAGCAUUAGUUGUGUAUUCUUUACCUGAGACGAUCAUGGUUUUUUGGCUUCAUGGUGAUAGGCCUAACGUAUAGGACGUGUGAGUAGAGUAGGACAUGAAAUUGGAAUGGGCAGCUGGGCAGCAUUUUAGUACUUAUCGAUCAUACUCUUCAUUUGAUUUUAUGUUCACCAUCACUUCUGCUAAUUUGGUACAUUAUGGUAGAAGGUAGAAGAUGGAUCUAUUGGAAUUUUGAUAUCACGGAGUGCUGAAGCAACAUGUUUUCCAUUGCUUGUUUACAUGUAGUUCAGGGAACUAAAGAAAGUUGGAACUACUGAACUGAGUGUGGUCUUGAGUACUGAGUACCACCUCAUAUGCUUAAGCAUUUAUCUUGUCCCCAAGCUUUAUGUUCAUAUGCUAGGGUGAUGCAACUUUUACAGCAUUCAGAGCUCAGAACAUGUGAGCUUCAAUGAAAUCGUCGCUUAAUUAAUUACUGGUGGUCCAAAUCACUUGUGUUAUAGAGUUUCCCCUUUUUUUCCUUACUGCUUAGUACCACGUUAAAAAUUAAAAAAUAAAAAAAAGGAAAAAAGCUGAGUUUGAUGAAAAUUUGCGGAAAACCUUGAUAAUAGACUAUAAAAUUCCUCAUCACAAGCAGUGCUCAAUCUAAAGAUUUACCGAACUGAACUAUUUAAUAAUUGUACGACAAAUUAUUAUUAACCCUAAGUAUUGACCACAAGCUCUGGGCUUUUAGCUUGAAUAUAGCUUGGAGAGUGAUAUUUCUUUGUGAAGCGGAGAUUACAUCAAGUAAUGCUAUGUGGAAGAUUAGAAAUUAUUCUUUCUUGUCUCUUCUUUUGUACUUGAAGUGACAUAGAAGCUUUGACAUGCAGAGACCAGAGACAAUUUGACGAAAAUUUAUAAGCCAGUUUGUUAUUUUAAAUUAAUUUCCUCCAAAAAUUUCGCCCAUGCUGACCUCUUUGUUAAUUCAAGGUAUGAAGGCACUGUAUGGGAUGACUUAGCACAUGGCAAAGGUGUUUACAUUGCUGAGGAUGAGCUAGUCAGGUUUUGUUGUUAGUUGUAAUUGUAACACCUUUAUCCCAUAGUAACUCUGCUUCUUAUGGUCCACUUUGCUUGAUGGAUGGGGUAAUGCUUUGAAAAUCUUUUAGACAUUUUCUGUUUCUGCUUACAGGUAUGAAGGUGAAUGGCUUCAGAACAACAUGGAAGGUCAUGGUGUUGUUGAAGUUGAGAUACCUGGUAUAGAACCUGUGCCAGGGUCCAGGUAUGCUCAUGUUUCUCUAAAGCUCCUAAUUCAGUCCUAUCUAGUUCUAUUAUAAGCUGCGACCAGAGCGCAAGUAGCCAUUUAUUCCGUCUUCAGUUCUGCCUUGUCUGUUUCGCAGGCUUGAAGCAAAGAUGCGAGCACAAGGGAAAAUAAUAAAAAGAGAUUAUAUGUCUCCAGAAGACAAAAAAUGGUUUGAAAUGGAUGUUGAGGAUACUAUGAAAUUAAUUGGUGGAAAUUAUGAAAUCCCUUUUAUGAGAGAGAUGAUUGGGUUAAACAAUUUGGAGCAAAACCGUGAGUUUUUCUUUCUUUGGUUUGGUUGUGCAAUUUCAAUAAAGAGUCAGUUUAUGGUAAUGUAACUCUUUCUUUUCCAUAGAGCAGAAAAAAAUACAACCUGGCAGCCAAAGUUUAAUUUUUUACGUAGUAUGAGUUGGCUUCUCGUGUCUGAGGAAGUUAUCACAUUGAUUCAUCUUGAUCCCAGGGAGAAAGGUCGGUACCGCUAUGCUGGUCAAUGGAAACAUGGUAGAAUGCAUGGUUGCGGUGUAUAUGAAGUUAAUGAGCGUACAAUAUUUGUAAGUACAUGAAUGUGGUUCUUCGUGAACUUGACUGUUCUUCUAUUCCUUUUUUUUUUCAUGGCACUUAAUCUCUUGCAUCUCUUAAACUAAGCAAUUGCAUUCUUAGAAAAAUUACAUGAAAGUUAUUAUCUUUGUGUUUGUCUGAGGGUGUCUGUCUGUGCGUGCGCAAUAAAUUAUGAGUUUCUCUCUUUGAAUUGCAUAUGCAAAUAGGCAUAUUUCAGCACGUAAUUGUGCUUGAUAUUCAAGUAUUGAGUUCUCUGAUCAUUGUAGUAAACAUGUAAAGACAGUGUACUAUGAAUGUUCGUGUCUACUGUCAUAUCUUACCUUUAUUAUCUAUUGAUAGACAGUGAACUUCACUUCAGGGCCGUUUUUAUUUUGGAGAACUAUUGGAGGGUACUUAUGGUUGUGACACCAAUAUAUCAGCUGUGAGUUUUUAUGUAUAUACAUGCAUAUCUGCUCGACAUAUUAACUCCAGGUGUUUGUAUGUUGCUUACACCAUGAUAUUUCAGAUGCAUGCAGCCAUAGCAGAAGUAGCAGCGGCUAAAGCGAGGAUGUUUGUCAAUAAACCUGACGGAAGUAUGUUGUACUUCUUGCUUCCUUCAUUAUUGGUCCUCCUUUUUUUUUUUUUUUUUUUUUUUGCAGUAUGGAGGUGAUAUGGCUAAUUUUGGAAGAUUACUUUUGUGCUUGAAAUGUUCUAGAGGAGAAGUGGUGUUGAUCGGAUAUGAAAUGCUAACCAACCCGUCUAAUUGAAUGCUAACUAACCCAUCAUGAGCAAUACUAGUAUAAAUAUUCAACACAGUGGAAAUUUUGUGAAUUGCCUUUAUUUUCUCUUAAAGCUGCUUUGACCUUAUAUACAUUUGUUUACUGAUAACCAUUUUAAUAUAUCAUCAUUGACCUUCAUUUUUCUUUUUGCUUUUUACUUAUACAGUUUAUGCUUCGCUUUGCCUUUGUAGUGGUUAGAGAAGGAGAGGUCCAUAUAGUGAUCCUCAACAUCCCUAUUUAUAUGAAAAGAUGAGUGUGGAUGGCACCAGGCUUCAUCAAUCAGUUUUAUGAAGUGAGCUGGAUGAUGCAUAUCAGUAGUCAAAUAUUCAGUACUAGAGCUUUCCAGAAAAUUAAAAUUUGCCUUUGGAUGGCAGGUUCCUGAUUAUUGGAAAAUGUAUGUGCAUGAGGUGGAUGAAGAGAGGGAAAUGUGGCUGAACUCAUUCUAUAAAGCGCCACUGAGGUUGCCUAUGCCUGCUGAACUUGAAUAUUGUGGUCCAAGGGUAUGACUUUUCCAAUCCCCUUUUGAGUAGAUUGGGUCCAUUUAGAUAGCAUAAUUUGGGGAAAAAUUUGCAAAUCUUAUGCUGCUUGCAUCAUAAAUACAACUUUCAACCAUUUCUUUUAUCUCACAUGCAUCAUGUCACAAAAAGUACCGCAUUAUUAUUCCAAAUAAUUUUUUUGAAAUAAUCUCAUAUUUAAACACAUUCACUUUUCUCUGUAAAUGAGUAUGAUGCUGCACAGGCUCUAACUGUGCAAAAUCAUUGACUAUUUCAGUUUCCAAUUUCAUUCUCUGAGCUUGUUUCUGAAAACAGAUAAACAUUUAUUAUCUGGUCUACAAAUGUUGAUUCCAUAUUUACAUUUUAUCUUAGUAUUGAUUGGUGGUGAGUUCUUUGUUUUAGCCCUAUUUUUGUUUCUGAGAAUGUUGAAGAACCAUGUGUGAUAUGUGUGGACUUGCCUGAAAGGUGAGUCCGGUACUUAAUAUUUUCAACAUGUUCAUAGAACCAGAAAACUGAUUCAUCUCAGGUCACUAGUUUACCAGUGAAUCAGUUGCACUUGAGCAGAAUAGAUCCCUGAGUCACAAGUUGUCAUUUACUUAUCUAAUUAAGUCUUGCUAUAGCAGUAAGGAUGAAAAACAAGCAGAGUAACAAAAUGGGGAGAAGUUGUCAAGCAUAGAAUUGGAUAACACGAUGUAAUUAUCUAAAUUCAAGUAAGGUUCCCCAUCAGUUACUUGAGAAAUGAGAGGAGAUCGAAAUAACUGGAAUUUACCUAAUGUCUGGACUGGCUAGCAGUUCGAUACUCUCUAAGCUGUUCUAGAUUUGUCUGGUAUAUAAUUUUGAUCAGCCCAAUUAGCGUCUGUGUAACUUUCUUAUGAUAUAAGAAUGAAAUUCUUUUCAUUUAUGAUGUUAGUUAGAAAAUAAGCUAAGUAACAAAAUGUGGAAAACUAGCAAGUUAUAAUUUUGCUUUCUGCAUUAUUUUAAUGCGAGGCUUGGUUUUUGCUAUAAAAUAAUAUAGCUGAUUUUUUGUGGAGGAAUUGGAAAGGUAUUGUUGGAUUUGGAGUUUGGAAAUACUUGUUGAAUUAAUCGAGGCGAAUGAAUAUUUUCACUGCACGGAUAUUAGUUUUUCUUCUAUACAGAUUAUGUUCAGUUCACUAGUUUGUCUCCUUACUGAGUUAACCGUCCAUCUGGUUUGCUAGUUAAUGUAUUUUCUUUCACUUAGAUGAGAAGCCAGAAUUUAUUUUGAUUAACAAAAGAACCUGAGCCUGAUCCUGAGGAUCCGUCAAAACUCAUAUAUACUGAAGAUCCCUUAUCCUGCAUACACCAACUGGGAGGAUUAUCAACUAUAUUGAUGAAUGAGGAACAUGGUAUUCGACUUUUUGGCAACCUCCUCUCAAAGAAGGAGAAGAUGUUGACCCAGAAAAGGCUGAAUUCCUACCCCUUGGAUUUGACGAGUUCUAUGGACGAGAAGUCAAUGUCAAAAAGAAUCCUUUUUUAUGCGUCUUAUUACCUCCAUAGAGAAUGCAUGUAAACAAUUUUUGACAAACUGGAGAAAUGGACUGAGGAGCAGAAGAAAGCUAGUGAAGCUAAAAUUGAGCUACUACAACAAGAGAUUGAAUUAAAAGAAGCUGAGAUAUGUCUGAAAGAAGCCAUUGAAAUAUGGAUGAGGAAUUGAAGCGGAUGCAGAAAGAGGAGGAGAAAAAAGUUGAAUUAGGUUGCAAGAUGAUGAUGAUAUUUUACCAUCUGAACCAACAGAAGUUGAGACAAUUAAACCCAAACAAGAGGAAGAGGACGAGGAAGAUGAGGAGGAGGUGGACAACGAAGAAGAUAUAACUUCUUCCAGUUUUGGUACAGUUGGGGAUCAGGAUUCACAAAAAUGACCAGAAAGGAAAAGGAGCUGGAAAAUCUCCAUUUGCUGCUGCUUCCCUGUCAUUUGGUGUUUCUGGCUUCUUUCUGCUGUGAGUUUAAUAACCCUUGCAUCACAUUCUUGGAUUACUUUGAAUCGAGUAAUAUUCAUGCUCAAAGUAGGGUUUAUUCAUACAUUGCUUAGCAUGUUCCUGAAGCUUGUGAAAUACAGAAACAAAAAAUUCCCUGUUCCUCUUCCAUUUGAACACAUUGCAUUUGCAUUUCUAUUUUUUCCCCAAGUUUUGAAUUUUUUGGUGAUCCAACGAUUUAUGUCAACUACAAUUCGGUGAUCUUAAAAUUACAUGAAUUGCAAAUGAUUGGAUGUACGAGCUCGAGCAGGUAUCAGUCAUAUCGAACAGUUUUUGUUACUUCAAUUGGGAGAUACGGAAAUCAGUUUUCAUGUCAUUGUGAUAUUCUCGAAUACCGCUUAAGCUUAUUUCAAUGUUGUUGUUCAUCACGGACAGAAUUGAUCCAGAUCACUGACCGUGUUAUGUGUUUCUCAGGCUCCGUCCAAGCUGCAGCAGUCACUUUCAAUUUGGAAGCAGGGGAAGUUGAGAUGAAAACACCUACUCCUUUUUCCCCUUGCUGCCCUUUCGUGAGCUGCCGUUAAAGGACAGACUUCAAAUGUAGUUCGUUUUUCACCAGCUGUUGGUAAAAAAUCGAGUUUGAGAGUUGUGGCACAAAAACAUCGCCAAGGCACUCUCAGUCACUAGAUCGCACCGGAGAAACUGUCCCAAACAAAAAGGCUUAGCUAAGGAGAUAAACUAUGGAGAGCAAUGCUACAAUAUAUUAUCCUUCCACACACCAAUACAAAUUUAGAACGUGAUAUUCCCUCUCUGCCUUUUUAUUUUUUGGUAGAAACAUUGAUCCCUUUCACUCUUGACAUUUUGUACAAACACAAUCAAUUUUGUAAUGUCUGCGGCCAAUAUUUUGAGUAGAGCCAGUCGCUCAUUGAGAACUUCUGUUUCACUCAACUUUGUACUUUUGUAGCUCCUCACUUCGAAGUAAGGCAAUCAGAAACAUUCUUGAAUUCUCACUUUUCAUUGAUUGCUGUUGUAGUUAUUAUUUCUUUAGCUCACAGCUUACUUUCAUGAAAGUAUACAGGCCGAAGGCUGUUGAAACUCGUGCCUUUGGGGUUGUCCACCGGUUUCCAUGGCAAUUUUAUUUGCCGACUUUUAGGUGUUGUUUAAUGUGUAAUGCUUUUUCCUAGUCGAGGCAGCAGCAAAUGGCACAAUAAUCUCUUUCUGGGGUCCCUCAAUUGGAUGCAUAUCGUUUGUAGUACAAACCAAAAGCACUACCUUGAGAAAAAUUUUUUUCUUAUCCUAGUGAUUUCAUUUUCGGUUCGUUACAUGGCAAAAGUAGUAAAUAAUUGGCCCAAUAUUUACAUGAUGUGAUAUUUUGCUUGGUAUCAGCAAAGACAGAAUACAGUUCCUGUCUUGUUGGGAGGUAUGGCUUGUCGAACGCUCAAUUAUUAUCUCUUUUCCACACAAUGAAAAUACCAUAGAUUCUUGGAACUUAGACGAAGGCUUAAUAACUUCUUGUAAAUAUUAAGAAGCAAAAACAUGUGAAUAAUUCAAGAUUGCACGCGAAUCAUAAGCGCCUAAACAGUCUAGACAUAAGAGACAAGACAUUCAUUCACUCUGGAACCAAGUCAGUAUGGAUGGAACCUCUUGCUGUUUGCAGCAGCAGCUAAAUUCCCACAAUUUCUGCAGCUCCACCCUGCAGAUGGCAGGUUUACAAUUUCUUAGUAGAUUUGUUCAAUCAUGGAUAACAUACAUGGUCUUCUAACCUUCAAGACUUGAGCAGUCCUUUCUGCAAAUUCACCAUGGCACUUGAAAUGGUAAAUCAGUGAAGUUGACAUGAUCGUGGUUAGGUCCAAGACAUAUGGGACCAAUGAAAUGAUGACAGAACGUCGUGUUCCCUGUACCAGCAGUGAUGCAACUUGGCAAAGGAUGCAGUAAAUGUUCAGCAUUAUUAGGGGCCAUUGCUGCUCAUAGUUCAUGAUCCACGCCAAAAUUAUUACCAUGCUGAUGGAGAAUUGCAUAAGGUGAUGGGAUGUGGAUUGGGACUCAAAGCAUGCUUUGUCUAUUUGCACAUGUUCCUCCUUCCAAUCUUGACCGACUUCACAGCGACCAAAUAAUGAAAAUACUUCCUUCACAGAAAUAAAACACUAGGUUACGAUGAGAAGUUGGUCCAAUGUGGUCAUUCAUUGUUGCUCAUGCAACCAUCGAGGUGAUUGGUGAAGGGAAGAAAGUGCUGUCACCCCUUUUAAACUAACGUGAAAAUUUGUGGAGAAGUUUCUGAAUCUUCAGCUCCUCAAGUUUAGGAAGAUCGAAAUUUAAAGAAGUGAUGUUGGAAGAAAAUCUCAAUUGCUUGUAUUAUGAACAACGGCCCUUGCCAUUACCAUUGUAUUGGUCUCUUCUUGUGUGUAUCGGGCAUGAGUUUUGUCACAUUGGGCGCUAAAAUUUUGACAGUUGCUACAUUCAUCGUAAAAGAUGGAAAGUUUAGUACUUAUAAUCCUAUAGGAAUUGAACAACUUUGUCACUCCAAAUCUUAUCAGAACAACAAUGUCGAUCCAGAUCCUGACUACGUUUCGAAUAUACACUAUUUUUUGUUCAUGAAAGCAACACAUUUUAUCAGAAUCCUUCUUUCCGGAUAAAAGAAUAGCCAUUUGGCUUGUUCAUAUUGCUGACAAUGAAGCUAAAAUAUGAAUAAAUUGAGCUAGUAAAUUCUCAACCUUUGAAGUUUUAAAAACUGACCGAGUCUAAAUUAUUAACACUUCUGCUGGAAAUGAGAGGAAAAUUUUUGAGGAUUUCCAGUACUCUUACAUUAGUUAUGUAGGGUAUCUCGAAAAAUCGAACAUCGGUUCCUCAUUGGCUCAUGUUUUUGAUCAUGCUGCUGAAAACUCAGAUUUGAAUGGAGAGUUGGAAAAAACUAACUUGGUCCAAGGACGAUCAUUUUCCAGAGCUUUUAACAUGGUCCUAGGGCUACAUAUUUAUUCAUCCACUUGCUAUCUACAGUAAAAGAAAGGAAUCUUUUUCGGGAUGAUUGACCAUUUAUCGACUUGUAUUGACACGCACGACUCUCAAAUUCGAGCUCGGUCAAUGUUGCAAUCCAUUAUCGAUCUAUCUAUUAGGAUGAUUCACAUCAUCUGUUAACAAGUCUUUAUUAGUACUUAAAAGCGUCUAUAAUAUAUAUAUAACAAACGCACCAUAAUCCCAAAUGGAGCCUAAUAAUUCCUCGAAGUGUUGGGUUUAGAAAAUGUUUUGUUGAUUUGCAACUUUCAGUGCUUUUUCACUUGACAAAUUCUGGUGAGACUACUGAAAUGUAGCAUUUAACUUCCAAUUCUUGGUUACCAUAUCAAUCUUUUAAGUAAACCAACAUGGUGUACCAUACGCUGGAAUUAGCAAUUCAGCAUUCAACUGCAGCAGUAAAGUUUCAACUUACACACAUUCAAACAGCCGGAGCCAGAAAAAAUUUCAGUGGGGUAAAAACAACACACUGAAAAUUUUUUACCUACUCUUUUUUUAGUUUUUCAAGUAAAAAAAAUAAUUCACCAACAAGUUGAAAUGAAAAUUUUUUUUUUUAGCUUAUUUCAAAUGGAACUUUGUGGCCUAUAUAUCCUUUUAAAAUAUUAGUUCAUGAAUCAUGAACUAACUUAGAGAAUCACGUAAUUCUUUCAUUUCCUUCGUAAAAAAACCUCUGGGAGUACACUUGAAAUUGUAUCAAAAUUAUAUAGGUAUUAUAGGAAUUUAAGGGGGAAGUGGGGCCCGUGGCCCCAGUGCCCCUACCUUAAAUCCGCCACUGCAUUCAAAAAUUAGCAUUCAACUUCACCAUCAAUUGGUCUACAACAAUUAUUAGAGUUAAAGGAGGAAAAAAAGAAGAAGAAGAAGAAGAAACAUCAUAAUGUAAAAAAUUAAUAUGUAAAUUGUAACAAUCAAUCUACCUAAUAUUAACUAUUUGGAAAUUAGGGAUGAUCAAAGUUUUUUGUGGUCUUUCUGGCCAAGAUAAGAAGGGCUAAGUCAAUUUCAAUGCAUAUAUCUAUCUAUCACUAGACUUGCCUUAAUUGAUUCAGUCGUAAAAUGCUAAGACUUGACGGGAGAGAAACCUGAGACUUGUAUUGUGCUGUGGUUAUCUCACAAUGAUUGAGGAUUCUUCAAAAUCACGUCUGGUCACAUACUUAUAUGGGACAUCCAAGCAGCAUUAAAGAAAACCAGGCUGCAGCUGGAAAUGAAAUUUGGAUGGAAACUUGUAGCUUGAUUGGUUGGUUCUUGAUAAAUUUGAAUUUUCAACUAAUCUCUCUCCUUUUCUCUCUUUUUUAUUUUUUUUUAUUUUAUUUUUUUUUGGGUCCUAUACCAUAAAGAAUUAUGACAUCCUACGACAUCCCUAUUUCUAUUGAGGGAACAACUAACUCAUUAACAAUCACUUAUGAAGAUAACUAGAAAUAAUAAGCAAUAACAAUGCGUCUCUCUAACGACUUCUCAUUGAAUACUAGUUAACACAUCCUAAAAAAAAAAUACACAUAAUUAAGCUACCAUGUAUAUACACAUACUGACAAUUAUUGCCUUCUCUUGCAUUUCUAUAUUUUUCCUAUUUAAUCUUGCAUACCUUCCAUUGUAUUUAUUUUCUCUAAUUAAUCUUAUAUUUUCAAAAAUAUGACAUUCGAAAUAUAUCUUAACGAGUACUCAAUAGGUACCCAUUAGACAGACGCAAAAAAAUAUACAAUUUAUUCCUAAUAACAAAUAAUUAUUUACUGCAAAUUAUAUCAGAUAUAUGUAUAUAGGCCAACUCCAAGUGGCAUACCACCAUCAUUAAUUCUAGAUAGGACCCGGGCUCCAUGUAUAUUCCACUUGCUCCAUCGACAAAAUAAAGAAGAAGUCAUCUAUUUGAGAACAAUAAGCUUACUAUUUUGCUGGUGGGUCUUGGAUGUAACGUAGAUAUCUUAGGUACCCACCUCAUUUUUGGGUUGCUUCAAAAAAUCCUAAACACCAAAGCCUGCAGUCCUUUUUUUUUUUUUUUUUUUUUUUUUUGAAUUUUACAUUGUUUAAACCCAGCGUAUGUUUGUCAAUUGUUAUUGUCUUUUUUGCAGAUGAUUCCUGUAUUUGUUUGCUUCUGAGGCUCAAAGGUUGCGUUGUAAACUGUAAUGGUAAAGCAAAGCAUUUCAUGUUCUUGUUUGCAUGUCUAAUCAGAUUUACACAGCUGCCUACUUUUUCUUGAUCACAAAAAGUCCAAAGUUCACUUCCUAUUUUUUAAGAGACUGGUCAUGAAAUAAUCCUCCAACUUUUUCCUAAAGUGGUGGCAGUUGACAAACAAAUACACAGAAAAAAAAAGGGGCACUUUUCUCAGCAAACUUUCAUAAUUUUCAUAUUUAAUGCUCAAUGAUUCAUCCGAAAUGAGGCCAAAAAAAUCCAAAAAUGAUGAAAUCAUGUUUAUUUCUGUUUUAUGCAUGGUAUAGAACUACCUAGCCGUGGCAUAUGGCAGUAUCAUGCUACCAUAGUUGGGUGUCUUAAAAUAUACUUAGAUUUCUAGGUUGGAAGUUUAUAUUAAUAAUAAUUCGGUCCGUUCAAGGCACCCGUUAAGAUAUAUUUUAGGUAUUGUAUUUUUAAAUAUAUAGGAUUAAUUAGAAAAAAAGUAAAUAAAUAUAAAAGAAGGUAGAUGAAUGUUAGGUGUGUUAACGAGGCAGGGCACCUGUUAGAAAAAUUCACAAUAAUUUUAGCCUCAGGUAAAUAAAAGUUCGUUUGAUCACAGAUAAAUCUGAACUCUAAUUCUAAUUAAAUAAAAGCAAAGUUGACUAAUUAAAACCCAUUAUCGUUGUUGAAUAAUCAUCAAUACACUUUAUUAAUCAUCUUACAAUUCAUUAUCUAGCAUCUAAAUUGCGGCACUCAACAAGUUUUAACGAUUCCUUGACAGCUAUGAAAUCACUAAUUAACCACACUCUUAACUUAAACUUGUUCUACUAAAAUACGGUACCAAGAACUAAAGUCAUGUCUAGAACAUGAAUUAUUCAGUCCUCAAAAUUUGGCAGCUUUCCCGACUGCAAUUAGAAAUUUUGCAGUGAAGAUGAAUAUUCAAGAAACUCAAGUUGGUGAGAUUGCCAAACCGUCCGUUUUCCUCCAACCUUUCAUUCGCUUUUGAAAUACGUACCUAGUCUAUCCAAAACAUUGAGAGUAGCUUGACAUUUCCUUCUUUUUUUUUUUUUUUUUUGUCUUUGUUAGGCAACAAUAGUACAUAGCUUGCAUAAUGAUAGAAUUGGAAUCUAUACAUAUGACUUUUUUCAACUUCAUAAUUGAAGAGAUUUAGAUAGCACCAUACUAAUGAACAAAUCAACAUAUGAAUAUUGGAUGCUAGAGAUUUCAUUUCCAAUUCCUGAUCAAGAAAAACUAGCCUAGCUAAAAGAUUAGGCACUGGAUGUCUAGUUUGAAAUUCAGUUCUCUUUCGCCAAGCAAAUCUGCACAUUAGUUGGAUGCUACUUUUGCAGGUUCCAGUCUAAAUAUAAGUAUAGAUAUGCUUUCAUUUUCAAUAGAAGUUUAGCCUUAAUUAAUGACUGCAUAUUAUUCUACAUUAGCUCAUUUUGAGGUCUAUUCCUUGAAAUUUGGCAUGCCAUCCUCCUUACUUCAUGGGUUACUCCGACAGAUUUACUCAAUUAAACAAGCAUAUGCACCCAACCAUUAUCAACCACGAAAUGAGUUCAUAUUCGCAUCAUACAUGCGCAAAAACUGGCAUUUCCUCCUCCUGUUCUACCUGGACAAGCUUAAAUAAAGUGCUGAUCGAAAAAUCAUUCAACAAAAAUAGUUAGGUAAUAUCUCAAGCCAAAGCACAGCCAAGUAUAUAUCCAGACAGGUCACAUUCUAAUUCUAUCAAGGGUUGUAAGUAACUGGCAGAUAGACAAAAUAUGCAACUGCUUGGAAAGUUCAUAUAAUUGGAUUAUGAACCCAAGUUGGCUAAAGGGGACCCGGCGGGGGGAGGACUCCUGUCCCAUUAUAGAUUUAUAAUCUUCACAUGUUUAAGGAUUUCCAACCUUCACUGGGCAUGCACUCCAUGGCCCUCUGGUUAUUCCUAAUAGUCUAAUACUUUCCCCUGAUAUUAAUUGCCUCUUAAGUACGAACUAAUACACAGUACCUGCACCAUACACAACAUUCUUAGUACAAAUUAAUGAUGCCAAGUGCUAAUUAAUUAGUAGUACGAUUAAUAACAUGUAAGACAUUAAUCAUAUAAUCUUAUGACCCUUAAUACAAACGCACGUCUAAUCAACUUUUUAAUUCUUGCGUGUACUACUCAAAUGGUCUGUAGUUAGCCUUUAAUUUUCUGCUCGAUUCUUCAAGACAUUUAUGUAAUUCAAGAAGGGACGGAAGAUUUUUGUUUUUUUGUUUUUGUUUAUAUUCCUCUUAUGAGGAUGUACAAGCUACCUUGAAAAGGAUAAUUCUUCCCAUUUAGUCAUUCUUGAUUUCGAUCUCCCACCAUAAAUAUUCUUUGCGUGUGUUAUUGGGACUUAUUGGUUAUUGGUGCAUGUUAAGCAAUUAGUGGUAUUAUAUAUUCUUUAACGUCUAAUUAUGUUACAUAAUAAAGUUUUACAUGGAAUUUGAAACUGAAAAAUAAAAUGAUGUUAUAUAAUAAAGUUUUAAUAGAAUUUGAAACUGAAAAAUAAAGUGAUGCAGCUACUCGGUAUAACUCAAAAAAAAAAUUUUUUUUUUGGUAAAUGGAAGAUUUUGAACUCACAUCCUCCUAUUUACAAUCUCUCCUAUCUUACCCUCAAGUAUAACUCAGGUGUUAUUUGACUAUAAAUACUUACCAUUUCCUUCAUAUGAUCACGGGAGUAAUUUUGAGCUCCCUUGCUAGGUAAGAUAAAAAUGAAGGGUCAAAAACAAUAAUGUUAGGUUCUCAUUCAAGCACAGAAUAACCAUAUUUGUUCUCAUUACAUGAUAACACAGGUGGGAUGACAUAGUGUAGGUUUGCUAAUAACUGCUUGACAUAAUUAGGUUGCUAGGAAUGAGAACAUGAAAGCAAGCUCACAGAAAAUAGACUUGCAUCAGACAAAGCAAGCCACAAUUGAUAUCGAAAUUCCUAAUUCUACCAAACCAUGCAAAAAAGAGAAGCCCAAAUUGAUCUCUAAUUCCUAAUUCCACCCAAUUCAACCUUCAAGAAUUCUGUAGUCUGUACCGCUAUGCUACAAAAGUACAAAGUCAUCGUCUAUUUUCAGGCUGGCAUUGAUCUCCCUGUGUCUGAGAUCUCUUUAUUUGCAUUUCAAAGGGAAAAGGGCAAAAACAAUGAAUGAAAAAAAAAAAAAAAAACUUAACUGCUGGGUUAAUUUCUAGACCAGGAAAACCAAUAAAUUAUUACGUCCGCAAUCAUUCUCUUGAUACUUAUAUUUAUCCUGCUAUGAUAUACUUCAAAGGGAUAGUUAUCAUCAUCUUACAAGGUGUCUGUAUUUAGGCAUACUUAUAUUACCAAGUGGCAGUGUCAUCAACUUAUCAUAUCCACUGAUUUCUUUAUUUUAUCAAUUACUGAUCAAUUAUCUGUAAUAUUCUACAAGCAUUUUUUUUUUUUGGUUUCUUUUGAAAGAAAGUAUUCUACAUUUGUCUUGACCUGCCCAGAUGCACACAUAUAACAUCAUUAUUUUGAUAUUAUCCAUAGUUUUCUCGGAAAAAAAUGCUUAGUUAAAGGGAAAUUUUUGUGGGCCUGUCAUUUUUUUCAAGUUAAACUAUUGAAACAGGCGAUGAUGGAACCGGAACUAUGAAAUCGUCCCGGAACGGUAUCGCUAUUGAAUGCAAUGGACUUCCAAUUCCAUGCUAGCGUCACCAUUACAAUUGAAUUAUGUGUUUGAAAAGGAGUUAAGGGCCAUAAUUCGAACUAUGUCACUUAUUAUAGUGGACAACUUUUUUUUACCUCAACAUAAUUUAUGUUGCAGAUGAUGCAUCCUCAGAAAAUAUCUGGUUUUACUGUUUAUGUCUAGCAAUAUGUGAUCGACACUAAUUUAUCCUUCUUAGGUCCCGCCUUAGUUUAAAAAAAAAAAAAAAACAGUUUAUUAUCUCACAUCUCCUCAUCUCCUACCUAGUGUUUCCAUGAACAAUUACAAAGGAAAGGAUGAGAAUCAUAUUACUAAUGCGCAAGCUGAUUAGGCCUUAAUUUAGUAGCUAGCUAAAAUUGAAACUCUAAAAAUUAAAAAUUAUGAAUUCAAGUCUUACGAAAUGUGAGUUUAUCCUAACUAUAGCUAUGUGUUAAUUAAUCUUUCUCUCACUAUUUGUGAGUUAUUCGUUAUAAUAAUAGUUGUUUGGUUAUAAUCCGCAUGUAGUGAUCCUACCAACAUGGAUUUUCUGUAAUCAUAUCAAAGAAAAUUGACAACAAAAAGAUAUUUAUAUAUAUAUAUAUAUUGAAGAUUAUUAGGGUUAGGUUCCCAUUAAGGACUUCCUGAUAAAUAGUUUGGUCUACCAUAUUCUGUGAUUUAUAAUAUGAUCAGAUUAAAGCACUUUAAAAAAAAAUAAUUCUGUAAGGGAAGGCACUUAUAUUAGUGAAGUUAUUGUCGUGUUUCAUUAAUGAGUGUGUUUGGAUUGAAAUGUUUUGAAAUAAAAUAAUUUGUUUCACAAUUUUCAAUUACCUUUUUAUCUCAUAUAUAUACAUCACAUCACAAAAAGUGCUAUAGUAAUUAUCUCAAAUAAACUCCUAUCCAAUUGUUAUUAUCUUCUUCAAAAUCUCUAAUGAGCCAAGUAAAUUUAUCAAGAAGCCCACUCUAAACCGUUGAGUGGUAAUUAGGUUUCCUUUCCCAUCUUCACACAUUUUUUCUUCUUCUUAAUUAAUUGAGUUCAGUUGCUAUUCUCAGUCUAUUUAUCACUAUCAACUUUGCCAUCAAAUCCAACUGAAAGACACUGUUUUCCUAGCUUCCCCAAAAAAAAAAAAAAAAAAAAAUUUGUACAGCUUCUAGCUAGCUAGUAUUGAUCUAGGAGAUCGUUUUCAUAGAUGACAUAACAAUUGCUAACAACAGACUGUUUUAAACAAGCAUGCUUAUCUAGAUGCUAGAGCAUCCAUCACUUUCGCUACUAGUAAAAUGUACACUCUCAUCUUAGCAAGCAACAUAAUAGAAUUGGACUUAUUUCUUUCUUAUUUCCUUUUUUCCCCCUUUUUCUGAAUCCAAUACGAGAAAAAAUUCGCUUUUCUGAAACUAAGAUACUACUAUCUCAAGCUUAUCCUGUUUGUUUGACCUUCCUCAACUGAUCCAAUCAGAUUAGAUCACCCAUGUUUUCUCACAAUCUUAGCUUACCCCAAAUAAAAAAAAAAUUUCUUACAAAUUCUCUUUUAUCAGUAUUUGGAAGGAGAAAAAGAAAGAGGGAAUGAUAAAACUAAUCGCUUAAAGACGAGGGUGUACAACUUUUUGUUCUUGACUGGUUUAAUUUUUAAAGAGUUGCAUGCUAAGGUUCAUGUCACAAUAUUUGUCUUCAACGUAAUCCUGAUAAAUAUAGUAAGUCGUAUUCAAAGUAAUAUUGAAAAAUAUAGUAAUCUGAUCCAUCCGUGUGCGCAUGCGUGUAUAUAAUAUAAUAUAUAUGUGUGUGUAUGUAUGUAUGCAUGUAUACAUGCAUGUAUAUGUAUGUGUGUGUACAUAUAUACACAUAUAUAUAAUAACAAUAAUAAUAAUAAUAAUUGAGUCGUCUUACCGCAAAAUAAUCUUUCAAAUUUGUCAAUUAGCAUAUGACAAUGCUCAUGGCGAGAAGAUAUUUUUGUGUCCAAUGGCGAAAUUUAGGCUUUACCAUCAAAUUAAUUUACAUGUGGCUAUCCGUCCAAUGGCAUCCCACCAUCUGUCACAACAAUUCUGCUAAACUGUGGGUCCUUUGAAAUUUAACUGUAAUCACAAUGGUGUUAAUGGAGAAACAUUGGACAAUAGCAACAUUACAAAAAUUGUGGCGGCCAAUUAAAGGGAUGAAGCAAUUAAAUAGGAUAACUUGGCUACUAGUUUCUUUCCCCCUUUUUUUUUUUAUGUCCGUUCUGAUUACAACUACUUUAUACAUCAGGGGUGUGAAUUUGACCAAUCCCUUUUCUUUUUUUCCAUUUUCAUUGUAAAAAAAGAAACAUCCAUCCUAGUUGGUUUGUGGCUUCUCCCGGGUACGUCUGAGCUAUGUGCAUUAUUUGAAGUAGAAAAGGUCCCGGAAAUUCCAGCCUUGGCCCUUGACCCUUGAUCCUUGACGACGACAAAAAUAAUAGGAGUACGACGUUGUUGGCGGUAGGGUUGUAAACGAACCGAGUCGAAUCGAAUUUUAGGCUAAUCGAACCGAGUCUCGACUAAAUUUUAUCAAACUCAAACUCGAGCUCGAGCUCGAAAAAAAAUAAAAAAUAAUUAUUUUAUUUUUUAAAAAAUAAAUAAAAUAAUACUUUUUCUUAAUAAAUAAUAAAAUAUUAAGAAUAUAUAUGUAAUUUUACUAUUAAAAUAAGAAAAUAAAAAAUAUAUAUAUACUUAAAAUAAAAAAUAUUAUAUAUAUAUAUAUAUAUAUAUAUACUCGAGCUGCGAGCCGCGAGCUAACGAGUUUAAUAUUUUAAGCUCGAGUUCGAGCUCGACUCGAGCCGCUCGCGAGUCAACCUCGAUUCGUUUGCAGCCGUAGUUGGCGGUGGUACAGCGCGUGUCAAAGGCGAAGUUGGAGACGGCAAUCUUAGAUCACUCAAAAUUCAAGUUCCCAACUAAUUUACGUUUUACUAGUCAAAACUUUCAAUCUAAGCAAAUAUUCUACUGAAAGUAAAAUGCUGCAUUAAAUUUUGCCUCCUUCCACUCCUGAGAGCGUUUUAGAUUGGAUGGAUUGGCCAAGCUGGGCAGCUGCCACCAGUUGAGGUCCCAGCACAGCUUUCGUGAAUUCAAGACAGAAGGCAACUACGACGGGACUUGCCUAUUAACAAAUGUCUCUCUCAAACACGAAGAAGCAUCUUUGAUUUUGCUUAUUCUACUGAAUUAAUAACCUCAUGUAUUGCUUAUUAGUGCCUUGUCGCGCGUUUGUUGAUUGUUUUUGGUGUUUUUUUUCCCCCCAUUUUUGUUUGAUUGCUGAAUUGAAUUGGCUUUUAGUCUCAAAUUGUCCUCAACCAGACAAGGGGAUUAAUGCAAAUAGUGACGUGAACGUUGGCACCGAAAUGAAAAGUGGUCUCCGUGCCCUGAAUCCUAAAUCUGAGUAGUCCGUUUCAUUACUUAACAUCGGCACGUGAUUAUCCAACAAAUUGUCUUCAUAUCCACAAAUGUUUUGAAGGAUCACCUGUAGUACUUAAAAGCCACAAUUAAGAGAAUUUUGGCUUUAAUUAAGCAAGAAAAGCAUAUACUAUUAUACUCCCUCCGUCCCACUUUGAUAGUCUUGUUUUCCUUUUUCGUCUGUCCCAAAUUGUAAUCCACUUUCCCAUUAAGAAAUGUAGAAAUCUUUCAAAUUGUCUAAAAUACCCUUAUUAAAUAUCUUGUUAUUAAUACAUUGUUAUUAAAUACUAACCCACUACAUUAAAUAUAUUGAGCUUUUCCAAUACCAACCCAUUAGUUGUAGCUGAUAUUAAUUGGCAUCGUAAUUAGCAUAAGGGUAUUUUAGGAAAUUAUUAAUCUAAAUUUAUGUUUCCAACCAAAUUAAUUACACUUUUUUAAUUUGUGUGAAAAAAAAUCAAAACUAACAAAACGGGACGGAGGGAGUAUUUAAUUUGCAUACAUUCCACGAGAGAAAAGGAGUAGAAGCAUCACCGUUCAUUCAAUUCCAUCACUCAAACCAAUUAUUCUUGUCACGAGUUGACUAAAAUCCCUAUUUAACACAAUGACCGCGUGACGGACACGUGAGGACCGUGUCAAUUCUACGCGGCUGGCGCGGGCGGUAGAGUAUGUAUGGAAUCUGUUUGCUUUUGCUUGCUAAUAAUGAUGCCAAGAGGCGUUUAGCAGACCAAUAAUACGUGACGUUAUAUACCACCACUCCAGUCAGUCACACGUGGAGCGUAGCCACUUGUUAUCACUCCCCAGUCAGUCAACAGUGACUAGUAUUUUCGCAGGAAGGGCAAAAUGAAAUCCGAUUAUCCCUUCCUUCGAAGUUCGAACAACGCAGCCUUCUUUCACUGUCUCCAAAUAGCCUUCCUCCACAUAAAAGCGUGCCUCGUGUCCACAAGCAUGAGUCGAUUAGGUUUGCAUCACCAUCGCAUUCGAAGAUCUUUUUUCUAUUUUUGUGGUUGCAUUAGUGGAUUCUAUUCUACAUGUAAAUUUGCAAAUUUAGUGAAUGGCUCAGAAUUUUUUUUUUUAAAAAAAGAUGUUUUGUUUUUCUUAGAGAUGUUGAAUGCAGGACAGCGACAGCUAUGCAUAAUGAAAAUCUCAAAAUUGAAUCAAUAUUAUACGUCGUGCAGCCGAAUUUAAGGCCAUGCUUGGAUUGCUUGUUUCCAUCGAAAAAUAUUGUCGUUUUACGUGAUCACAUUUCCUUAUCACCUUUUCCCCUCACAUAUAUCAAAUCGCUACAGUAUUUUUUCCAUGAAAAAUGACGGAAAAUGCAAUCCAAACACAAUCUAAGCAUGUGUAAACAUAAAAUAUGACAAACGACAUGACAAAGCAUGUAAAUAUCCGGUUGUGUGAAGUAACCAAAACGUAGAUGCAUUUUUCAAAUCGACAUCAUAUGGUUGUCUUUAGCUUUGCCCUGCUUUUUUCCAAAGCCAGAAGUGAUUUUUUGGCAUUUGACAAACGUAAUUCCACAGAAAACCACAAAAGCCAGCAACUCUUGUGGUUCCUGAGGAGACUUAUAAACUACCCCAAACCCCCCCCCAACAUUCGAUGUGGGAUAACAACCUUAAGCAGGCGAGUUGCUACUAAGAUCUAAAGAGACCUCACUCAACCCGGACAGGCUGUUGUCUUUUUUCCAAAGCCAGAAGUGACUUUUUGGCAUUUUACAAACUUAAUUCCACAGGAAACCACAAAAGCCGGUAACUCUUGUGGUUCCUGAGGAGACUUAUAAACUACCCCAACCCCCCCCCCCAACAUUCGAUGUGGGAUAACAACCUUAAGCAAGCGAACUGCUACUAAGACCUAAAGAGUCCUCACUCAACCCGGACAGACUGUUGUUAGCUUUGCCCCGUUUGAUAGUGGUUAUUUCAACUUUUUUUUUUUAAUGUAAAUGGGAGGAAUCGAAUCCGAAAUCUCUUACUUAUCAUGUCUCCCUCAAAAUCAUUCGAGCCAUCCCUUCCCCUCACAUGAUAGUGGUUAAGUGCACUAAUCCUAAAAUUUAUGCACUUAUGCAUGUAUUCGAGUUUUAGACUUAUCUGUGGUGGAGUGUAUCAUGAUUGUAUGCGUUGUAUUGCUAUUUCGCUUUUUUUAAAAAAAAAAAAAAAAUCUUUUGCAAGUACCUAUUGUAACGAAAAAAAUAUAUUAUAUUAUCUAAAAACUCUUCAACAGUAUUACUUUUAAAAUAUUUUAAAAGACUAAACUAUAAUUUUCAAAAUAAUUGUGCUAAACUAUUUUCAAAAUAUUUUAAACUAUAAAGUUUUCAGCAAUUUUCAAUAUUGUUUUUAUGGUGCUCAAGUAAAUUGCGUUUUCCAUAGGCAUAAAGUGAAAAUUUUCGCAAUCAAACUUGAUGCCUUAGCUUUGGACAAGACAUAUAAAAAUUAUUGCCUAAAGCAUGCUAGCAGCGAAUUGGAUGCAGUAAAUUUAACUUAUCAUUUAACAAUAUCUUCUCUUAAAUGUGAUCGCUUAUUAAUAUUUAGACCGUAUUCAAACGUUAAUACAACAUUAAAUCUUAUACAUUUUUUUUUAAACCAACCUUCACCUGUUAAAGUUUAUCAAUAUUGUCACCUGUCGUAAUCUGAAUUAGAGCAAAAAAAACAGCAAUUGAUUAGUUCAAUAUUUCAGAAAAUCUGUCACUGAUCAACUCAAAAGAUUACGGGCAAUAGCCGGUGAAUGUAAUUAAUCUAUUUCCUGACCGGGUGCAGCUAAUCACCCAUGGCUCAUCCCAUUAUUAUUAUUAUUUUUUUUUUUUUUUCCAAACGAGAGAAACUUGGCCCAUCCUGGCAUCCCAUUAUUGACUAGCUCUUUUGUCGAACCGGUCAAUCCCGUCCCAGGUUAAUCAAUGAUUAAAAAAAUGAAAAAUCAAUGAACCACCUUCCUUCUUAUCUUCCUCCAGCAAUUUCCAUAUAUUUAUAGGCCUCUGGCUGGCAUUCACUCCCUUCAAUUCAGCCCUCAACAGAAAUCGUCGUUUCUCUUAGGCCUUUGCUUUCUUUGCUAAUUACAGGUCUGCCACUCCCGGUUAUGAUAGCCGCCGGAAUCCGGAAUCUGAGAGCGUCUUCUCGUCUCCAGCUCUCGGCUUCCCCCGCGUCCGUUUCUUCCGCUACCGCCGCCUGAGGUAACCCAACUUUCCGACCAAUACACCAGCUUUAUAGUGUACAUAUAUUAAAUAAUUAUACAUACAUAUACACGUAUCUAUUCCGAGUUCGAAUAUCCUGUUGAGAUGCCUUCUCCGGCGAAGAGUAAUCAUCGGAAAGGAACCGGGGAGAAGAAUAGGAAGGGAAAAUUGGCCGAGAAAGCGCAAUCGUUUCACGCCGGGAGUGUUUCAGCUGGAAAAGUUGGACAGAUGUCGUUGUUGCAGAGGCCAAGAACGGUGCCGGACUUGCUGUCCGGUAAGGAAGUUGUCCAGAAGAGCUCUUCGUAUGAGGAAGUGUCCCGGCCUCUGAAGCUCACGAAGCUUCUCCUCAACGUGACGAUUCAGAGGAGCCUGGGACCCGUUCAGGUGGUGAUGUCGCCGGAAUCAACGGUGGAGGAGCUCAUUGCGGCGGCUCUCCGGCAGUACUCCAAGGAAGGCCGACGUCCGAUUCUGGCAGCCAAUGAACCUUCCGGAUUCGAUCUUCAUUACUCUCAGUUUAGCUUAGAAAGUAAGCGAAAAAUCCCAGCCGUCGAUUUUUUUUUUUUUUUUUUUUAACCCAACUAAAUACUCACCAUUUAAUUUACGACGGAGGGGCGUUUUCCAGAGCAUACACGUGUCAGGUAAUUAUUGGCCGGGUGUACUGACAUUCCUUCGGUGUCCCGCAGGUUUGAAUAGGGACGAGAAGCUGAUGGCAUUGGGGUCAAGGAAUUUCUUUCUGUGCCCCAAAAAGUGCGGCGGCACGGAAAGUGAUGGUGCAGUAACGGCGUCGUCUUCGAGCUGUAAGGGGCAAGCUGAACGGGCUACUCCCAAGUUCGGGCUGCCUUGGCUCAAGUUUAUGGAAUUUAUGCUGUGAAAUCAAAUGUCACAGAGCCUUAUUUUUUAGUAGUUAGUUAGGGCCCUCUAGCUUUGUGUUGCUGUUCCAAUUUGAAAAUUUAGGCCUAAAAUUUGUGUGUAAAUUUAUAGCUGAAUUGGGAAGAAGGCAGUCUUUAAUAGAUGAGGUCCUCGGCAAUUAGCAUUGAUUUUCCAGCCUCAAGAAACGGGCAACAAAAUUAUUGUGUAAAUAUAUCUUCUCUUGAUCUUUUUCAAGUUAUUCAAAUAGCGUGUAGCUUCUCUAAACGUUGCAAUUAACAAGUCAUAUAUAGAUUCUUACAAGUUACAAUAUGAAACUAAAAUAAGUUACGCAAUGGAGAGGACAAGACCCUAUUCCUUGGACAACUCACUUGCCUGGUCAUUUCUUCAUUCAUGCUUUUUCCAGUAUCAAUUGCUAAGAAGCUACCACGCUUUGUGCUAGCAGCCUAGCACAGCGGGGUUCACAGCUUAUGCCACGCGGAAGUACCAAAUAAGUUAAACUACCUCUUAAAUUGCUUUUGCACUAGGUGUACUUGGGAUACAUCCCAAUAAGUUAUACGCGGAUGGAGCCAUUCAAAGAGGUGAUUUGCGUACAUGAACUUGUUAUUAGUCUAUAAGAUAAUCCUCUUCUUCCCGGAAAGAGAGAGGGGUCGAUUGAGACGGUUCAAUUCAAUUGUUGUGCUUUUUACAUUAUUUAGUGCAUAGUUAUAUUACAUUAUUGUAUUCUGAGUAAAUAGAGUAAAUUUUAUAUAUAUUGUCAGUGUAUACAAUAUCAUUGUCGGCACGUGAGGGGAUAAAGGGUCCGCUUAGCUGGCCAAAAAUUUGAAAUAAGUUGAUAAUAUUUUCGACAAUAAUGGAUUGGACCUAGUGCUCAUCGCUAUCCUUGUCAUUCAAACUAGAGACACGUGUACGAGCGGCUAGUGGCCUUCGAUCACGUGGCAAAAGAGUACAGCGUCCCACGUGAUCCUAAUUCGAAUUUUGCUCAUGUGUCAUUUAUCCAAUCAUAAUAGUGUAUACACUAAUAGUGUAUAUAAGAUUAAUCCAUAUAAAUAAAAAUAUUUGACAUAUAUUUAAUGCAAUGUUAUGAUGUAUUUAUACAUAAAAAAUUUAAGGGUAAUUACAUUUUACCCCCCUGUGGUUUAGCGUUUUUUUACAUAACCCCUAUGGUUUCAAAAGUUAUACAUAACCCCCUCAUGGUUUGGAUUAAAGUGUCAAAGUAACGGAAAUAGCCACUCGUAACGGAACUUCUAAAAAUGUCAAAAUUACCCUUAUAAAUACAUGACACAUUAACCCCCUAUGAUUUUUAUAUUUUACCAUAUAACCCUCCUAUGGUUUAAUACUUUACCAUAUAACCCCCUUAUGAUUUUCAAAACAUACACAUAACCCCCUUGGUUAAUACAUAAAUUUCAACAUUACAUAAGGGUAUUUUUGACAUUUUAGGUGACGCCGUUACAAGUGACUAUUUCCGUUACUUUGACACUUUAAUCCAAACCAUAAGGGGGUUAUGUAUAGUUUUUGAAACCAUAGGGGGGUUAUGUGAAAAAAUGCUAAACCACAGGGGGGUAAAGUGGAAUUUGCCCAAAAUUUAAACAUGUACAAUGACGAAAUAAAAUCGCACAAAACACAACUGUAUUGAGUCCUUAUCCUUCUUUCUACUUUACUCAUUUACAAAAUUACAAUCUGGUCCAACAAUUUUAUAGACCGACGGACGACAGCUUCUAAUUUUUACUUGUUGUGUCGUGAAUUAAACAAAACGAUCAAGUUCUAAGUUACUAAGUUGCGAAAGUGCUAAACAAAUGAACACUCUUUCCAAGAUUGGAGAAAUAGUUAUUCAUGCAUGAAUGCAAAAGCAAAAAAUUAGUACUUGGGAAAAAAAUGGAUUUUCCUCGUAUUUUCUGCAAAGUUGAAUGGUAGCAAGUAGCAACGAUUCAUUUGAUAUAUACUAGCAAAAAAAAUCACAUGUAAAUGAUGCCAGUCAUUUUUUUUUUUCAACAAUAGAGAGAAGAAAUUUUUAAACCUAAUCUUCAACCCAACUUUGAGUUGGCCAAUUGCUGACUUUCAAGUUGGACCAAGGGAAAAUGAUGCCAGUCAUUUGAUGCCUAGUUUUUGGUACUUCAAUUCUAAGAAUACUCUCCGCCCUGAAUUUCUUCCGCUGGAUUCCGAGGCAGGCAGCAGGCCGCCGGAAGUUUGACAUCUUUAAAGCCCAAAUUUUGUUAGUAAACCUAAGGGUAAUGCUAGUAGGGGGCCCAAGUCGCAGUGGGCUCCCAAGUUUUGAAAUUUUUUUGUUAGUGCCUAGGAAAUAUUUAAAAUUUUUUAUCGAAAAUUCUCUUAUUCUAUCUGGAUUUUGAUAAAAUUGUAUUGCUCUCUGCGCAAGGUUUUUAAAGUCGGGAUCCUACUAGGAUCCUUUUUUUGGUUGGCAGGAUCGGAUCGUAACAUCAGUAGAUCCUACAAAAAAUGUAAUAAAUUAUUAUAUUUAUAAUUUUUAAGUUUGCAAUUCAUAAAUAUAGUGACAAAUAAUGUAAUUCAUGUGCAAUCAAUAUAAUUAUAUUGUUAAUUAAGGAUAAAAUUGUGCUAUAUAAAGUAUUUCGGACAAUUUAAAAAACAUAGAGAAAUUUGGGACUACUUAUAAUAUAUUCAAAUUGUAUUUUGAUUAAACUAAACAACUUGUUCUUUCUUGUUGUAAAUCCAAAUUCAAUUAUGGAACAAUAUACAUGGAAAAUUUGACUUUAUACGUGUAUAAUCAUCUUAUUAAUAAAAUAGUUAAACACAAUACAUUUAGUUAACUAUGAUUUUGUGAUUGAUUGCUACAUCAUUUUUUAUAAUAAUUGAUAGAAAAAUUGGUAUACAAUAAACAAAUAAUUAAAGAAAAUUUUGAGAAUAGAAUUUUGUGCUAAAAAAAUGUGUAUUUUGGGUUCAAAUUUAUAACCCACCACUUAUCCACUUAGAAUUAGCAAAAGUAUUAAUUCAUUUCUAAAGACUCUAAACCAUAUUAAUUUAUUAUAAUAAAGACACAAACACUAGCUCCAUAUGAUACCCUAUAACAAAGAUCAUCUAUUCAUUUUAGUGCAUAUAUGAGUCAAAUUUAAAGAUGAGUCAAAUUUUCUAGGUUUGGAAUUGGGUUAGUUAUUUACAUGGAUUUAAAGCACUUUGAAUAUAGUUUACAACGCAACAAACGGCACUCAAUUUCGAUUUUUCUAUACAAAGAUAUGGUCAAAAUACUAAAAUUGUUACUUAAUUUAUUAAAAAUAGUAGGAUCAUAUCGGGAUUGUAAGAUCGUACGAUCCUAUGUACGAUCCUACUAUCCGGAUCAUGACCCCAUUGAUCUUGUUAAUUUAAGGCUAAUUUUCGAUCCUACUUACAAUUUGGAUCGUUAGCCUUGAUCUAGAUCAGGAUCCUAACAACUAUGCUUCUGCAUAGCUUGUGCUUCAUGAAAGCUAUAACCAUUUUACUCAUCUACAACCAUUUUUCACCUUUCUCAGCCGUUUAUUAAUGCAUAAAGUUCAACUUGUUAUUAACAGCAUUAGCAUUACAGUUUUUUCCCUCAUUCAGGGAUAUUCCAGUCUUUCAGUUGGAUUAAUCCUCUAAAACAAUGUAGAGUCUUGCCAUAAGGAUACAUAGCGAGGUAGUACACGGGAUCGAUCACGAGACCUGAUAACUAUCAAAUUACGGAACCAAUCAGACUACUUGCGGGGACAUUAGCAUUACAUAUUUGACUUGUUGUAAUUUUGUCUAUUAUGCUAAGAAGCAUUUGUUUAAGGUUAAACUACAUACACCUUUAAAUUGAUGGUUUGAUUUUAAUUUUCGUAUUUGAUAUGCCAAAUUACAAAUUUAAGUACCUAGUUCAACAUACAUGUACGAAGUUGAAACCGAUGCAUUUGCUUCAAAAGCCCUCUUCUUAAAUACAUAAAAUCAACAUAUAAAUCUAAUUAGUAAUAUUAUUCGUGCAUUUUAGGGUGGCAUCCUGAGAUAUUAUUCAUUUUCCAAGUUCGAUGCUAAAAAAAAUAAUCAAUCAUAAUUUUUUCCCCUUAAAAUAUGUAGUGCACUUUUCUAUGACUUCCUCUCGAAUUAUAGCAAGUUAAUACCUAUCUAAGACUUACCUUGUUGACCGAAGAAAACAAAAAGAAAUAUACACCACCUUAAAUGACAUGGAAUAAUUACUAGGAGCAUCUAGAAAGGGAAAUUACUACAGAAAUAUACAGCAUCUUCAAAAAAAUUUUGCAAUAGAAUCUGGAAAGGAAAAUAAUUAUUCCAUGUUUACAAAUUGUGCUCCAGGAACUUUUUAGAGACUCUUACACCAAAAAAUUGUGAUCCAGGAACUUUUUAUUGUUCAUGGACGCUUACACCAAAAAAUGCUCAGAAGGCCCUAGGGUUUGUAUAUUGGGCCGUAGCUAUUUGGGGCGACUAAACCUGUUUCCCUAUAAUACGGUAUUGAGUAUACUUCUUUAAAACCCUGCUUAAACCCUGCACUUCUUUCCGCCUCUUUAGACUCUUCAGACCAAAGAAGAAGACUCAUCUUCUCUCCAUCCCCUUUUCAUCUUCGUACUCCCAUUGGCCGUCCAUCAUAUUCUGCAAAUGGAGUUUUGGGGUAAGCUUCGCUUUCUGUUGGACUAGUUUUCAGGCUUUAAGGUCAGGAUAGCUGUUCUUUUUCAACCCUGGAUACUUCUAAUUAUCAUUCAAUCAGCUGUCUUUGUGGAAAAAAAGUUGCCAUUGAGUGCCUUAUGAGAUAGUUGCACGAUAUUUAUUCAAUUGUACAGAAGAGCAGCCUUUUUAUAGACCCUUUGCAGGGUAGAAAUUGAGUCUUUAUUCCCGUAAAUUUUUUGGUGCCUGAGUUGUAUAGUAUAACCAAGUUGUUUUUGAUAUUAAUGCUAACUCAUCUGAUGUUAAUAACUUUCAUAAGGUUAUUCUAAGAGCUAGCAAUUGUUAUUUCUCAUUCCGAUGAUUUAUCUUACAAUUCAAAGUUUUUUUUUUUCUACUCAUUGUGAAAACAAUUCAAUCUUUCUUAUUUUGCUUGAAAAAAUGCCUGCUUUGUGUACUUAAUAUCUACCUUCUAUUUUCAGGUGUUGAAGUCAAGCCUGGAGAACCUCUGAAGGUCAAACCUGAAGUGUUCAGGCUUAUUCACAUCUCCCAGGUCGUAAGUUUUUACAUAGACCCAUUUUACUAGAGUAUAGGUUUAAUGGUCUGAAGAAUACUUAAUUAGUUUUACAGGAAGUUACGCAUGCUUUCAUGACAAAAAAUGUAUCUUUAACUUUUGCAGGCAGCUUUGGGUGAGGUAAAGGAUGGAAAAGGGCCAAAGUGUGUUCCGAUUCAUUUUGAAGGUUGGCGACAAAAAAUAUGUUAUGGGGACUCUUUCAGCAGAGGAUAGACCACAGUUGAUGUUUGACUUGGUUUUUGAGAGAGAAUUUGAGCUCUCACAUGACUGGAAAGAUGGAAGCAUCUACUUCGCUGGAUACAUUGCUGAUGAUGACAGUAGAUAUCCUUUUACUUUGGUUUAUGACAUGUUCACGCUGAUUACAAGCUCCUAAUCUGUCCUUAGAAUAUGCUAAUGCAUUCAAAGCAAUGAAAUUUUUUAAUAAAAAGUCAUCUUGCAUUUAAAGGUAUCAUGGCAUGCUUUCUGUCUCGCUUAAAUGUAUAAUUUCCUUGACAAUAUCUUUUCUGUCUUCACUGAACUCGAAAGCCAUAGAGGUGAGUUUUGCCAUUUUUAUCCAUUAUAGGGUUAUUGACGUCAUCUCUUUUCUUAUGAUGUUUCUAAUCUUACUUCUUAUCUCACAAGAUGGUGAAGAUUUCUCCGAUGAAGAUGAAGAGGAGGAAAAUCAAGUUGAUGAACUUCAAAAUGGUAGUCAUUUUGUCUCUGCUUUUGGUGUAGCUAGUACUUAGCAGUGCUUUUGCUCUCUUUAGCGCUUGUUGAUAACUUUUACCAUGAUUUUUCUUGCGCGUCCAAAUUAAUUGAUUCCUCAUUAAACUUGUCAGCCAAACUUGAGCCUAAUGUUGGCCCGAAGUCUGCUACGAAUAAGGCUCUUCCUGCUGAGCCCAAGCCCUUGGAAAAGUCAAUAUUGAAGAAGGUGGAGCUAAAGAAAGACAAGACAGAAUCAAAUUGAAGAUGAUGAUGACAGUGAUGUUAGUGAAGAUGAUGAUGAAGGAGAGGAAAUUAGUGAGAUGGAAGAGGAUUCAAGUGAUGCCUCAGCAGAUACAGUAUGAACUUUGUCCUAAAAAAUCACUAUGAACUCUCUUAAAAUUGAUUUCUUAAUCUUUUGGGUUACCAUUGUUAUAUGUUUAUAAAUCCUAAUGUUUUUGUGCCUGAAUAGACAAAGAAAUUUGAGUGACCUGAAUAAGUUGAUAUCAUAGAGCCAUUUACCAUAUGAGAGGAAUUGUGUACUAUGGUUUUCAUCUCUAAGAAUGGAAGGAAAUGAAGAGGAAAAGAGAAACAAUGUUCAUCUUAUAUGCAUUCUUGUUCAAGUUCCAUAGUUAGACUGGAAUGUAGUCAACUAGUCAUUACGUGGGUCUUGACAUAUCUUUUCUUUAGAGCAGUAAUGAUUGAAGAAUUGACUGCUUGUGGCAUGUUUGUGUUUUCUGUGCGUUAUUUAUUGAUAAAUUGUUGAAGCAGUAGUCUUAGGGCUUAUGAAGCAUCUGAGAAUUCCUAUUUAGCUUCAGUUUGGUCUUUUCUCUUGGUUUCUUGAAAGAAAUUCUUGUCAACAUAUCCUCUUCUUCUAGAAUCUGCUUGCUGACUUUUUGUUCCCCUUCACCUUCUUGUUUCUUAUUUAUAUUCAUUAGCUCUUUGGUAUCCUUUUCAGGACUCAGAAGACAGCGACGAUGAGAAUCAAGAUAUGGUAUCUCAAAAGUAGUGUCACCUGAAGUAUACAUUCAAUUAUUGCAGUACUAAUAAAUGUCUGACUUCACGAAUUAUUUUUAACUUUUGAAGACCAAGUCUGGGAAGAAAGACCACCUGAAACUGCUACGGAGAUGCUUGUUCCAGUGGCAGCAAAGAAAACAAAAUCAGCUGCACCUCAAAUAUUGGGUAAAUUUUUUUUUUUGGUAUUUGAUUAAACAAUUAAUCAAGCUCCUAAAAUUUUAGGUGUCAAAUAACCAUCAACCUAGCGUUCAUUAUCUAGCGCCUUAGGCCGAGCGCUGACCACAUAAAACAAGUGGCGGCGCGUGGUAUUCCACAGAGAGAGGUUCAUUAAAUGUGGCACACUUCUGUGUGAUGGGCGCAUAUUGAUGCUUUCUUUGGGGCCUCCAUGGCCGUUUUGCUGCUUCAUUAUGCUGGCAAAGCGAGGGGAUUGCCCUAUAUCUUUAAUAAAUUUCUUGUUUCAAGUUUUUUUUCCCUUUAUUUUUUUUAAUGUACAAAAAUUUAGAUUCCUUUAAUGAUAGUUUUCAUGUCGAAGCAAGAAAGAUUUUGUUGCGUAGAGGCUCUGUGUUUAGGAUGACCACAAGCAGCAUCUCAUAUUUUCCAGCCAUAAUUUGCUUAAAACCACAUAUAUCUGAGUAACUUUUUGUUUCGGGACAAAAAGAUGUGGCAGCAAAGAAUAGCUGAUAUUGUGGUGCUUUUUCGUAACUAUUAUUCGUUCUCAUAUAUUCUGCUACAUUCAUGCAGGUGGGAAAAGUCCAUCUGCAAAUGGAAAGUCUGGCAGUCAAGUAUCUGGCAAAUCCUGUAGCAAGUUUGUCCCCAUCUAAAGGCCUUUUCUUUGUCCCUCAUCUCUGUCCCUAUGACAUUGACAUUUAUUCUAAUUUUUUUUCCAGGACAUUCAAUUCUAAGAAUGCUCUACAGUCUCGUGCCAAGGCUAAGCAUGGUGGUAAAUAAAAUGUGGUUAGAUCUCUGCUUUUGAUUGUCACGAUUUUGGUACUGCAGACAUACGGAUGCAUUGGGGAUUUAGCAAUACUUCUCAUUAUUAUAGGUCUACAAUUUUGCAUAGUGAUAUAUAGAGACUUGGGAUCCUUAGUUAUAGUGUAUACUGUAGUUUCUGCAACUGCUAUGUGCUUCAGGAUUUUUAUUUAUCUCAAGGGAUUUAUUACAAUAUUGUUGUGCUGUUACCUGCCAAUGUACUUGUUUGGUCAUGGUAUAUUGAGGUGAAUUUUUCGAGUAGUAAAAGGCCUUCAAGAGAUGUUUCGAAAUUUCAGUAGGAAAUAUUGUUAAUCUUCGGGUUCUUUUGCUUAAAAAUUGAGAGGGUUGAAUUAUGUAAACGUUUACUGUUGUAUCACAUCAAACAAGAACCAGCAAAAACUGAAACUCUGCAUUUAAUCUUCAAGGUUACAGUCAUUUGAUCUCUACUUUGAAUAGCACGAUUUUGGUACUACACACGCGAAGAUGCAUUGUCGAUUUAGUAAUACUUAUUAUAGUUCUACAAUUUUGCAUAGGGAUAGAUUAAUAAAGCUUUGUGUAGCUCGUAUCCUUGUAUUGGUAUACUACAAUUUUGCAACGGCUAUAUGCUUCAGAAUAUUUAUUCAUCUAAAGGGUUUACAUUUUAGUAUUCUUGUACUUUUAUUUGCAAAUACUUGUAUUUUAUUUGCGAAAAUCUUACCAAAAAAAAUACUUGUUACCUUGUUGCUUCAAGGGUUUGCAUUAUAUUACAAAAAAAAAAAAAAACAAAACGAAACUCUGAAAUUAAUGAUCAGCGUCAAAAUAGUUUGCAAAAACAUGAGAUACUAUGUCGAAAUCACUAUUAAUCCUCUUAAAAAUGCGAAUGUCUUAUUUUAAUACGCUCCUUUUAGUACGGAACAUUGUGCUGAAAAGAAAGUGGCUGCUCGAUUAUUUAAGGCGGCGUUCCAUACCACCUGAAAUUAUAGAUUUCUUUUUUUUUUUUUUAGGCCAACCAAAACAGUAGUACUUGGAAUUAUAGAUUGAUUCUGGCUUCUCCACAAAUGUAGCACAGCUAAUUUCUGGCUUAGGUUUUGAGUUUUAAGUAUGCAAUAACAGCCUCAAAUUCAGCGUUAUUGGCAAACACAAACUCAUGAAAGUCUUUGUUGUUGAAUGCUCGAUAAAGCGGUGGAUUGGUGGGAGAAAUAAGCGCUGCUGCAGGUUUAAUAGUGACAUCAGUUGGGCAACCUACGAAGGUCACAAGUGAGUUCCUGGAACAAGCUGAAUUUGUAACCGCUCGAUGCACAGCACCUUUUAGCUUUCCAUUGCUAAUGACCUGUACAAAAAUGCAGCAGAAGAGCCCAAAUAGUCCUGAAGUUUGGAGAAGUAUCAUAUAUGGAACAUACAUAUUUUGAGAAAGGCAAGUUUUAACUGAUUGUGGAGAAGAUAAAAGUCUAUACCUCCAGUAACAAACCUAUGUUCACCACAAAUGCAUCAGGAAGGGGCUUAACGCCAAUCCAAUGGCCAUCUUUUUCUAGUUGGAGCCCAUACACCUCUUGCUGAAGAAGAGUUAGGAUUGCAGGAUCACAGUGUCUGCAGCAACCCAAGGCUAAUGCAGGGUCUGGGCAUGCUGGAUAAUGGUUGAUGGAGAGAGCUAAAUUAUAGUUGUCGAAUUCUUUCUCAGUGUCGUCCGCUUCAAGCCCUAAGCCUUGAUAGAUCAUGUCCAUAAUUUUCAUGGCCACUUUCCUCACUUGAGUUGUGUAUGGUCCCAUAACCUCUCUGAACAGGAAAGUUAAUCAUGUCAUCAGUCAAAAUAGAAUUAAUCAAUUGAUUAUGUUAGUUUUUCGAGCAUCCGGGGAGCUUUUCAUUACUUUUUUUCAGACCUCCCCCUUAGUUUGAUCAAAUACCUAUCAUCAUCCUAUCAGUUUUCCCGUCCCAAAAAAAAAAAAAACAGUUCCAUGUAAAGAUGACAGAAAUGAGCAGGUAUCCUGAAACCCAAUGUGAUGCGGCAAAAAUUAUGGUUACCUGUAGUUCUUAGGUUUGUCGGGCCAAGAAUUGAUGUGGUUUUGCAGAGGAUGACAAGGGUGUUGCAAAGUAUCCUUCCAGAAAUCGAAACCUUGAGCCAAAAAAUACCCAGAACUUGUAUAGAGUCUGCAUCCGGCCUUUUCUUCCAAUGCAACGGAGUCAAUAUAGUACUUUGCUUUCUCCUCAGGGGACAUGCCAAAGAACUCUUUGCUCACAUUCAUAGCAUCAGCCAUCAACUCCUUUGAUACUCCAUGGUUGAUCACCUGUUUCACAUAUUACAUACAAUCCAAAUUACCUGAUAUCUAAAAAAUAAAACUGGCUACAACAUUUGUGAAUUUGGCGCUAAGUCAAUUAAUCACAGAUUAACCUGAAAUAGUCCAAAAUCCUGACCAGCUUUCGCGAUUUGCUGGACCAUGUCAGCUCUGCUGUAAUCUAGUCCGUCUCCGAGAUCAAUCACUGGUAUAUCAUUGCUUACUGGAACAGGCAUUCCUGGCCUUUUUCCCUCAGGUAACACAUAGUUAUCAGGCAAGCAUUUCAAGUCGGAAGACCAACUCGAGACGAGGGAUGCCAUUUGGAUUAUUUCUCAAAGAACAAAAAGCUCAGGUGUAGCCAUUGGAUGAAGGGAAAAAACCCCUUCUUAUAAUAAUGCCGCCUCUGAACUGGUGCUGGCCAACUAUCAUAUGAUCGAUUUCGGACGAAAAUACCUUGUGCCCUCCGUUGCUUAUCAAAGAAACUUUUGACAAAUUGGUAGAUAGAAGCUCUGAGGGAAAUAUGAUUGAUACGAUAAGGAAGCAUAUAUUUACAGAAAGUUUGUUAGCUGAUCCAGAUGUUGUUCUUGGCUGUUGGGAUUGAGAGGGAUUACGUAAAUAAAUAAAUAAAAUCUUUACCACAUGUAUAGUGUAAAUGAUUUUGCAGGGCAGUUGUACCAAUUUGGAUGACAAAACGUAUUUGGACGUUUUAAAACCACUGGACACCCGCUAUCGCACGUAUAAUUUUGGGGAGGUGUUAAAACACUGGUGGACACCCUUCGUAUUUUAUCCUGGACAUAUAUUAGGUAGGUAGUAAUCUUCUUAACUUUUACAAUUUUGAUAAGUGCCUUUCCACACAAGAAUAUGAAAGAACAGAGUAUUUUAUUUUCAGAUAGACAGAUAAAAUGCACAUCCCAAUUUCAGUGUUAAUUUUCUAUUUGUCAAAUUGUCUUAGUAUUAAUUUAUGCAUAAUCAAAUAGCAGAAAUAAAUCAAAUUCUAGGUUGUUGAUUUUAGUGUCUAGAUUAUAAAUUUAAUUUUCUUGAAAAAUUAUAGAUUGCUAAUUAAAUUAAUGCUCUCAAGCAGAAAUAAAAUGUUCGACACAAUGAAACAUAACUCAGGUAGUAAAAUGCUUGCUUGUAACUAAUAUCAGCACAACGAACACAGCUCAUAUAGCAAAAUCCUUACUCGUAACUAAUACAUUACUAGUUCGAGUAAUCAAUGAGCUAUUUAUUGAACCAUUUUGUUUAUAAGUGAAAACAUUAAGUUUUCCUUCUUUAAAAAUAUGUGUUUUGAUACUGAUAGGCUUUCUAUAAACUUCCAAAAUGACCAUAAAUAUUAAUACUCUCUUUAAAUAAACUCAUAUAGACUCACCUCGCAUGAGUUUAUUCUUGGCAUAUGUUGUCGGUGUCUAUCCCAUUACUGGGUUUCGUUCAGAACUUCAGAGCCUAGAGUUGGCUUCUUGUUAUAUUAAAACAAAAAACAGAAAAAAAACAAAAGACAGAAAAGAUAAUCGUUGGCUUCUUGUUUAUUGUUAAAACAUGUUCUGUUUAAAACCACCACCAAGCAUGCUUCAAAAGCUGAACAUAUUAUUAUUGUUUUCUAAUGAGUUCAGAUGGUGUGAAUUUAAUGUUAAUGGGAAUUUUAUCCUUACCGUACUUGAGGCAGAACUGACAUAGGGAUCCCAUUCAUUUAUUUGCGCUCCAUAACAAAAAUGCAGAGAUGCUCGCAAAACUCAUCAGUAAACCAAGGAGAAACUCCCAAGAUUGCAUUGCGCUCGUCUUAUAUGAUUACAAACCAGUACAAAAUGAAAAACUUCAUAGAAACUGUUCAGUCUACGAAUAGCUAGAGCGUAUACCCAACGAAGGAAAAACAGCAAUUCCCAUCAGCCAACCUACACAACCACCUGAAAAAGUUUACAACAGAUUAUGCUCAUCAUAACAAUUCAGCUCAGGAGCCAAAGGCACUCUAGCAUCCAUUAGUCUUCUAUGCCCUUGAAAUCCUGCACAUCCCUGUCACAUCAAACCUGUUGGAUCAUAUUCUCUGACUUGGCAGAACCUGUACACAUUCCAUGGUAAGCCUUAGUUAAAAUAUAUUCUUGGUCCUUUUAAGCAGGGAAACCUGGACCUGCAAAACUCGAGAUGCUGUAAGAUAAUACUUUUUAAAGUAAAUUUCAGAGCAGAAAUACAAGUUCAAGGUCACUAGCCUGGUUUUGUUGCGGUGACAGAAUACCUGACUGCACAUAGAAUUCAGAAACAUGCACUGCACACACAUAAUAAACGAAAAAUGCACACUGCAUGCAUUAUUACAGCUUGUAUUCCUACUACAACACGGCUUCCCAAUGAUGUCAUAAACCAAGACCACAACUAAUUGCACAAGACCCUACCCAUGAGUCAUGUAUAAAUUUACUAGAAGCAUUCUGCUUCUACAUAAAAGAAGAAAAAAGGAACAAAGCUCAGGAAAACAUACGACAAUCAUGACAAGAUCUGCCCAUGAGCUAAAAAUGACAUUGAGACAGACAUGGUAAAGUUGAUCAACAAGCAACAACAUCACAACUAACACAGAACCGAAAACACCAAGUCUAUGCAAUCAAAAUAUCAAAGUGAAGGGCUCCCUCAAGCGUGUUUAAAAGAUGUCAGGCUUGAAAAACUCGCCCAACGCAAAAUUUACACCGGAAAUUACCUUAAAUAAUUAAGCAAUGAAACUCCUCAAGUAAUUGUUCCCAUUACAGGGAUGAAGAAAAAAAAAAUCUAACUCAUGGAUUGCCUUCAAAAAUUUUUAAAGAACCAUAAAAAGAUUUACCAUCAACUCAUCUCUACUAUUGUUAUGACAGAAAAGACAUGAAUGAUGAUGUAAGACAGUAUGAGCUAUAGAUGCACAGACAACACAGAUUAGUUUUUACACUGUGGCUGGCUACAAUCAAACUAAGAUCAUGCAAUGCAUUCAAGCACAGACACAAGAUGAUGAAAUCAGAAAGCCAAAAAAGGGUGCAUAUUUUUUUCACAAGCCAUAUCACAGAACUGUAAACCUGCACACCACCUGCACAGUGGAAA
rnacentral:lncRNA from 1 species